UGUGUGUGCCUUGGAGCUUCACCACUAGACCUGCACAACAUGAGCCUUGUCCUUGCCUUGGAGCUGCAGCUGUUGCUGCUCCUGCUUGCCUUGCCACGCCUUACUUCUGUGUGAGGGCUAGGGUUUGCAUUCAAGCCAUUGCUAUAGAAUUCGAACUACAAGGGGGGGAAGGAGGAAGGUACAGGACGGAUCUGGCUCGCGCAGGAGCUCACACCACACACGCCACCACUAGCCGUUAUGCCAAUCGCCAGCUCAAUCUAUCCUAGUUACAGGUAUAAGUACCGCUUGGUCAGGCCCACUCAGGCCCAGCUAGCCGAGCGGGUAGGCGAGGCUGCCUCUUGGGCAGGCCUUCAGUUUGAACUCCACCUUGGCGCUCCUCUUGAUCGCUGACAAUCCCUCCCCUGUUAAACCCGGCUUGACCCCAAGCCGGCGCUCUGGGAAACUUUUGCUGCAGAGUGAUCUUGUCUUCCCAGGUAGCCAUAUCCAGCGGAGACGAACUCCACUUGAUUAAGACUUGGAGCAUGGAAUCAGAGCCUCGAUGGAUCACCCGCUGUUGCAACACUUGUUCUGGCACCUGAAACUGAUCAUCCGGAGAAGGAAGUUGCGAGAGCACCUGGUUGCGGGGAGCAAUCACUUUCUUGAGAAGCGACACAUGGAAACCAUGGUGCACUUUGCUGGAAGGAGGAAGGCGCAUGCGAUAAUCCACUUCACCGAUGCGCUCCAAAAUUUCGAAAGGUCCAUAGAAUUUGAACGCCAACUUGUGAUUUGCUCUCGGUGCCACAGAUGGCUGAAGGUACGGUUGAAGCUUGAGAAAAACCUUGUCCCCAACUGCAAACGAGCGAUCAGAACGAUGUUUUAUCAGCUUGAUGUUUCAUACGUUGUUGGGCACAAAGCAGAUGCUGCUUAACCGAGUCCAUAAUCACUAGGCGAUCGCUGAGCCACUGUUACAAAUCAUCAGACUGAAUGGUACUUUCAGCAGAUAAACCAAAGUGGCGUGGCUCAUGUCCAUAGAUAAUUUCAAAUGGAGUUUUUUCCAGUAGCUGAAUGCCAGUUUGUGUUAUACCAGAAUUCACAAAUUGGGAUCCAUUUAGCCCACCGUGACGGAUGUCCACCAACAAAGCAUCUCAAAAAACACUCUACUUGCUGAUUGACACGUUCUAUCUGGCCAUCUGACUGCGGAUGUCGAGCAGAGCUCAUGUGAAGUUGAACGCCUGAUUUUUGGAACAGCUCACUCCAAAACUUGCUUGUGAAAAUGCGAUCACGGUCUGAAACUAUGGAGCGGGGCAUACCAUGCAGCUUGUAGACAGUGUUCAGGAAGGCCUCAACAACAGUUUCAGCAGAGAACGGAUGAUGCAAGGGAAUAAAGUGCCCAUACUUGGAGAGCUUGUCAAUAACCACCAACAAAUAGUUGUAACGGCCUGAUGGAGGCAAACCUUCAAAAAAGUCCAUUGUAACCAUUUCCCAAGGCAAUGAAGGUAUUGGUAGAGGCUGAAGAAGACCAGAAGAAGGAACUCUUUCAGGUUUGUCCUGUUGGCACACCAGAUAGCUAUGAACAUAGUUUUUAAUGAAACCUCGCAUGCCCUUCCAUCGAAACAACUGCCUGACACGCCUGUAAGUUACUGGGAAUCCGGAAUGUCCACCCAGUGGACUGUCAUGAAAAGCAGCACAUAUCUUACUGUGUAGUGCUAAGUCACAACCUAACCAAACACACUUGCCCUGUCUGAUUAUACCAGCUUUGAGAGUAAAUUUGCUGUGAGAAGUGGGCGACGUGGAUAGCUGUUGCAAAAGUUCCAGAGCUGCUGGAUCUUGAUCAUAGCUUUUCAAAACUUAUGUCAACCAAGCAGGUUGGGCAGAUGAAAUAUGCUGCAGUUCUGGUAUUUGAAGGAAAUAUGCCCUAGAGGCAAUAAUAAAGUUAUUAUUUAUUUUCUUAUAUCAUGAUAAAUGUUUAUUAUUCAUGCUAGAAUUGUAUUAACCGGAAACAUAAUACAUGUGUGAAUACAUAGACAAACAGAGUGUCACUAGUAUGCCUCUACUUGACUAGCUCGUUGAUCAAAGAUGGUUAUGUUUCCUAACCAUAGACAUGAGUUGUCAUUUGAUUAAUGGGAUCACAUCAUUAGGAAAAUGAUGUGAUUGACUUGACCCAUUCCGUUAGCAUAGCACUUGAUUGUUUAGUUUGUUGCUAUUGCUUUCUUCAUGACUUAUACAUGUUCCUAUGACUAUGAGAUUAUGCAACUCCCGUUUACCGGAGGAACACUUUGUGUGCCACCAAACAUCACAACGUAACUGGGUGAUUAUAAAGGUGCUCUACAGGUGUCUCUGAAGGUACUUGUUGGGUUGGCGUAUUUCGAGAUUAGGAUUUGUCACUCCGAUUGUCGGAGAGGUAUCUCUGGGCCCUCUCGGUAAUGCACAUCACUUAAGCCUUGCAAGCAUUGCAACUAAUGAGUUAGUUGCAGGAUGAUGUAUUACGGAAUGAGUAAAGAGACUUGCCGGUAACGAGAUUGAACUAGGUAUUGAGAUACCGAUGAUCGAAUCUCGGGCAAGUAACAUACCGAUGACAAAGGGAACAACAUAUGUUGUUAUGCGGUCUGGCCGAUAAAGAUCUUCGUAGAAUAUGUGGGAGCCAAUAUGAGCAUCCAUGUUCCGCUAUUGAUUAUUGACCGGAGACGUGUCUCGGUCAUGUCUACAUUGUUCUCGAACCCGUAGGGUCCGCACGCUUAAGGUUUCGAUGACAGUUAUAUUAUGAGUUUAUGAGUUUUGAUGUACCGAAGGAGUUCGGAGUCCCGGAUGAGAUCGGGGACAUGACGAGGAGUCUCGAAAUGGUCGAGACGUAAAGAUCGAUAUAUUGGACGACUAUAUUCGGACAUCGGAAAGGUUCCGAGUGAUUCGGGUAUUUUUCGGAGUACCGGAGAGUUACGGAAAUUCGCCGGGGAGUAUAUGGGCCUUAUUGGGCUUUGGGGAAAGAGAGAAGAGGGGUUGGGCACCCCCCCAAGGCCUAGUCCGAAUUGGACUAGGGGGAGGGGCUGCGCCCCCUCCUUCCUUCCAUUCUCCCUUCCCUUGCCUUGACUCCUACUCCUACUACUUGGAAGGGAGGAAUCCUACUCCCGGUGGGAGUAGGACUCCUCCAGGGCGCGCCGUAGGGGCCGGCCCUCUCCCCCUCCUCCACUCCUUUAUAUACGUGGCCAGGGGGCACCCCAUAGACACAAGUUGAUCUUCAUGAUCGUUCUCUUAGACGUGUGCGGUGCCCCCCUCCACCAUAGUCCUCGAUAAUAUUGUAGUGGUGCUUAGGCGAAGCCCCGCGACAGUAGAAUAUCAACAUCGUCACCACGCCGUCGUGCUGACGGAACUCUUCCCCGACACUUUUCUAGAUUGGAGUCCGGGGAUCGUCAUCGAGCUGAACGUGUGCUAAAACUCAGAGGUGCCGUAGUUUCGGUGCUUGAUCGGUCGGGCUGUGAAGACGUACGACUACAUCAACCGCGUUGUCAUAACACUUCCGCUGUCGGUCUACGUGGGUACGUAGACAACACUCUCCCCUCUCGUUGCUAUGCAUCACCAUGAUCUUGCGUGUGCGUAGGAAAAUUUUGAAAUUACUACGUUCCCAACAGUGGUAUUAGAGCCUAGGUUUUAUGUGUUGAUGUUAUUUGCACGAGUAGAACACAAGUGAGUUGUGGGCGAUAUAAGUCACACUGCUUACCAGCAUGUCAUACUUUGGUUCGGCGGUAUUCUUGGAUGAAGCGGCCCGGACCGACAUUACGCGUACGCUUACGCGAGACUGGUUCUAUCGACGUGCUUUGCACACAGGUGGCUGACGGGUGUCAGUUUCUCCAACUUUAGUUGAACCAAGUGUGGCUACGCCCGGUCCUUGCGAAGGUUAAAAUAUCACCAACUUGACAAACUAUCGUUGUGGUUUUGAUGCAUAGGUAAGAACGGUUCUUGCUAAGCCCAGUAGCAGCCACGUAAAACUUGCAACAACAAAGUAGAGGACGUCUAACUUGUUUUUGCAGGGCAUGUUGUGAUGUGAUAUGGUCAAGACGUGAUGAGAUAUAAGUUGUUGUAUGAGAUGAUGAUGUUUUGUUGAAGUUAUCGGCAACUGGCAAAAUCCUUAUGGUUGUCUCUCUAUUGCAUAAGAUGCAAGUGCUCAAUAAUUGCUUUACUUUAUCGCUAUGCGAUAGCAAUAGUUGUAAGAGAAAUUGUUGGCGAGACGACCAUGUGACGACACACUGAUAUAGAUCAAGAUGAUGGAGAUCAUGGUGUCAUGCCGGUGACGAUAUAGAUCAUGACAGUACUUUGGAGAUGGAGAUCAAAGGCGCAAGAUGAUGAUGGCCAUAUCAUGUCACAUAUUUUGAUUGCAUAUGAUGUUUAUCUUUUAUACAUCUUAUUUUUGCUUAGUUUGAUGGUAGCAUUUUAAGAUGAUCUCUCACUAAUUAUCAAGAAGUGUUCUCCCUGAGUAUGCACCGUUGCGAAAGUUCUUCGUGCUGAGACACCACGUGAUGAUCGGGUGUGAUAGGCUCUACGUCAAAUACAACGGGUGCAAAACAGUUGCACACGCGGAAUACUCAGGUUAAACUUGAUGAGCCUAGCAUAUACAGAUAUGACCUCGGAACACGGAGACCGAAAGGUCGAACGUGAAUCAUAUAGUAGAGAUGAUCAACAUAGUGAUGUUCACCAUUGAAAACUACUCCACUCACGUGAUGAUCGGACAUGGUUUAGUUGAUUUGGAUCACGUGAUCACUUAGAUGACUAGAGAGAUGUCUGUCUAAGUGGGAGUUCUUAAGUAAUAUGAUUAAUUGAACUUAAAUUUAUCAUGAACUUAGUCCUGGUAGUAUUUUGCAAAUCAUGUUGUAGAUCAAUAGCUCGCGUUGUUGCUUCCCUGUGUUUAUUUUGAUAUGUUCCUAGAGAAAAUUGUGUUGAAAGAUGUUAGUAGCAAUGAUGCAGAUUGGAUCCGUGAUCUGAGGUUUAUCCUCAUUGCUGCACAGAAGAAUUAUGUCCUUGAUGCACCGCUAGGUGACAGACCUAUUGCAGGAGCAGAUGCAGACGUUAUGAACGUUUGGCUAGCUCAAUAUGAUGACUACUUGAUAGUUUAGUGCACCAUGCUUAACGGCUUAGAAUCAAGACUUCAAAGACGUUUUGAAUGUCAUGGACCAUAUGAGAUGUUCCAGGAGUUGAAGUUAAUAUUUCAAGCAAAUACCCGAGUUGAGAGACAUGAAGUUUCCAACAAGUUCUAUAGCUAAAAGAUGGAGGAGAAUCGCUCAACUAGUGAGCAUGUGCUCAGAUUGUCUGGGUACUACAAACGCUUGAAUCAAGUGGGAGUUAAUCUUCCAGAUAAGAUAGUGAUUGACAAAAUUCUCUAGUCACCAUCACCAAGUUAGUAGAACUUCGUGAUGAACUAUAGUAUGCAAGGGAUGACGAAAAUGACUCCCGAGCUUUUCAUGAUGAUGAAAUCGAUGAAGGUAGAAAUCAAGAAAGAGCAUCAAGUGUUGAUGGUUGACAAGACCACUAGUUUCAAGAAAAGGGCAAAGGGAAGAAGGGGAACUUCAAGAAGAACGGCAAACAAGUUGCUGCUCAAGUGAAGAAGCCCAAGUCUGGUCCUAAGCCUGAGACUAAGUGCUUCUACUGCAAAGAGACUGGUCACUAGAAGCGGAACUACCCUAAGUAAUUGGUGGAUAAGAAGGAUGGCAAAGUGAACAAAGGUAUAUUCGAUAUACAUGUUAUUGAAGUGUACUUUACUAGUGUUUAUAGCAACCCCUCGGCAUUUGAUACUGGUUCAAUUGCUAAAAGUAGUAACUCGAAACCGGAGUUGCAGAAUAAACAGAAACUAGUAAAAGUCGAGGUGACGAUGUGUGUUGGAAGUAGUUCCAAGAUUGAUAUGAUCAUCAUCGCACUCUCCCUAUACUUUCGGGAUUAGUGUUGAAACUAAAUAAGUGUUAUUUGGUGUUUGCGUUCAGCAUGAAUAUGAUUUGAUCAUGUUUAUUGCAAUACAGUUAUUCAUUUAAGUUAGAGAACAAUUAUUGUUCUGUUUACAUGAAUAAAACCUUCUAUGGUCAUACACACCAAUGAAAAUGAUUUGUUGGAUCUCGUUCGUAGUGAUACACAUAUUCAUAAUAUUGAAGCCAAAAGAUGCAAAGUUAAUAAUGAUAGUGCAACUUAUUUGUGGCACUACCGUUUAGGUCAUAUUGGUGUAAAGCACAUGAAGAAACUCCAUGCUGAUGGGAUUUUGGAAUCACUUGAUUAUGAAUCACUUGAUGCUUGCGAACCAUGCCUUAUGGGCAAGAUGACUAAGACUCCGUUCUCCGGAACAAUGGAGCGAGCAACUGACUUAUUAGAAAUAAUACAUACUGAUGUAUGUGAUCCGAUGAGUGUUGAGGCUCGCGGCGGGUAUCGUUAUUUUCUGACCUUCACAGAUGAUUUGAGCAGAUAUGGGUAUAUCUACUUGAUGAAACACAAGUCUGAAACAUUUGAAAAGUUCAAAGAAUUUCAGAGUGAAGUGGAGAAUCAUCGUAACAAGAAAAAUAAAAGUUUCUACGAUAUGAUCGCAGGGGUAAAAUAUUUGAGUUGCGAGUUUGGUGUUCAGUUAAAACAAUGUGAAAUAGUUUCACUACUCACGCCACCUGGAACACCACAACAUAUUGGUGUGUCCGAACGUCAUAACCGUACUUUAUUGGAUAUAGUGCAAUCUAUGAUGUUUCUUACCGAUUUACCAAUAUCGUUUUGGGAUCAUGCAUUAGAGACAGCUGCAUUCACGUUAAAAAGGGGCACCAUCUAAGUCUGUUGAGACGACACAAUCUGAACUGUGGUUUGGCAAGAAACCAAAGUUGUCGUUUCUUAAAGUUUGGGAUUGUGAUGCUUAUAUGAAAAAGUUUCAUCCUGAUAAGCUCAAACCCAAAUCGGAGAAAUAUGUCUUCAUAGGAUACCCAAAGGAGACUGUUGGGUACACCUUCUAUCACAGAUCCGAAGGCAAGACAUUCAUUGCUAAGAAUGGAUCCUUUCUAGAGAAGGAGUUUCUCUUGAAAGAAGUGAGUGGGAGGAAAGUAGAACUUGAUAAGGUAAUUGUACCUUCUCCCUUAUUGGAAAGUAGUUCAUCACAGAAAUCUGUUCCUGUGACUACUACACCAAUUAGUGAGGAAGCUAAUGAUGAUGAUCAUGUAACUUCAGAUCAAGUUACUACCGAAUCUCGUAGGUUAACCAGAGUGAGAUCCGCACCAGAGUGGUACGGUAAUCUUGUUCUGGAGAUCAUUCUACUUGACCAUGAUGAACCUACGAACUAUGAGGAAGCAAUGAUGAGCCCAGAUUCCACAAAAUGGCUUGAGGCCAUGAAAUCUGAGAUAGGAUCCAUGUAUGAGAACAAAGUAUGGACUUUGGUUGACUUGCCCAAUGUUCGGCAAGCCAUUGAGAUUAAAUGGAUCUUCAAGAGGAAGACGGACGCUGAUAGUAGUGUUACUAUCUACAAAGCUAGAAUUGUCGCAAAAGGUUUUCGACAAGUUCAAGGUAUUGACUACGAUGAGAGUUUCUCACUCGUAUCUAUGCUUAAGUCUGUCCGAAUCAUGAUAGAAAUUGCCGCAUUUUAUGAAAUCUGGCAAAUGGAUAAACAAAACUGCAUUCCUUAAUGGAUUUAUUAAAGAAGAGUUGUAUAUGAUGCAACCAGAAGGUUUUGUCAAUCCUAAAGGUGUUAAUAAAAUGUGCAAACUCCAGUGAUCCAUCUAUGGACUGGUGCAAGCAUCUCAGAAUUGGAAUAUAUGCUUUGAUGAGUUGAUCAAAGCAUAUAGUUUUAUACAGACUUGCGGUGAAGCCUGUAUUUACAAGAAAGUGAGUGGGAGCACUACAACAUUUCUAAUAAGUAUAUGUGAAAGACAUAUUGUUGAUCGGAGACGAUGUAGAAUUAUUCUGCAAAGCAUAAAGGAAUAUUUGAAAGGAGUUUUUCAAAGAAAGACCUCGGUGAAGCUGCUUACAUAUUGAGCAUCAAGAUCUAUAGAGAUAUAUCAAGAUGCUUGAUAAGUUUUUCAAUAAGUACAUACCUUGACAAGAUUUUGAAGUAGUUCAAACUGGAACAGUCAAAGAAGAAGUUCUUGCCUGUGUUACAAGGUGUGGAGUUGAGUAAGACUCAAAACCCGACCACGGCAGAAGAUAGAGAGAGAAUGAAAGUCAUUCCCUAUGCCUUAGCCAUAGGUUCUAUAUGUUGCGGAACGUAGCAGAAAUUCAAAAUUUUCUACGCAUCACCAAGAUCAAUCUAUGGAGUAAUCUAGCAACGAGGGGAAGGAGAGUGCAUCUACAUACCCUUGUAGAUCGCUAAGCGGAAGCGUUCAAGUGAACGGGGUUGAUGGAGUCGUACUCGUCGUGAUCCAAAUCACCGAUGAUCCUAGUCCCGAACGGACGGCACCUCCGUGUUCAACACACGUACAGCCCGGUGACGUCUCCUACGCCUUGAUCCAGCAAGGGGAGAAGGAGAGGUUGGGGAAGACUCCAUCCAGCAGCAGCACGAUGGCGUGGUGGUGGUGGAGGAGCGCGGGACUCCAGCAGGGCUUCGCCAAGCACUACGAGAGAUGAGGAGGGAGAGAGGUAGGGCUGCGCCAACAGGGAGAGCAAAUCACGUGUGUUGGGCAGACCCAUACCUCAAGUAUAUAUAGGGGGAGGGGAGGGGCUGCGCCCCCACCUAGGGUUCCCUCCCUAGGGGUGGCGGCAGCCCCCAGAUCCCAUCUGGGAGGCGGCCAAGGGGGAGAGAGAGGGGGGGCGCACCUAGGGUGGGCCUUAGGGCCCAUCUUCGCCUAGGGUUUGCCCCCUCUCCUCUUGAGGACGCCUUGGGCCCUUGGUGGGAGGCGCCCUAGCCCACAUAGGGGCCGGUUCCUUCCCACUUAUGGCCCACGCAAGCCUCCGGGGCUGGUGGCCCCUCCCGGUGGACCCCUGGACCCCUCCGGUGGUCCCGGUACACUACCGGUGAUGCCCGGAACACUUCCGGUGGCCAAAACAGGACUUCCCAUAUAUAAAUCUUUACCUCCGGACCAUUCCGGAACUCCUUAUGACGUCCGGGAUCUCAUCCGGGACUCCGAACAACAUUCGGUAACCACGUAUAUCUAUUCCCUAUAACCCUAGCAUCAUCGAACCUUAAGUGUGUAGACCCUACGGGUUCGGGAACCAUGCAGACAUGACCGAGACAACUCUCCGGUCAAUAACCAACAGCGGGAUCUGGAUACCCAUGUUGGCUCCCACAUGUUCCACGAUGAUCUCACCGGAUGAACCACGAUGUCAAGGAUUCAAUCAAUCCCGUAUACAAUUCCCUUUGUCUAGCGGUACGAUACUUGCCCGAGAUUCGAUCAUCGGUAUCCCGAUACCUUGUUCAAUCUCGUUACCGGCAAGUCUCUUUACUCGUUCCGUAACACAUCAUCCCGUGAUCAACUCCUUGGUCACAUUGUGCACAUUAUGAUGAUGUCCUACCGAGUGGGCCCAGAGAUACCUCUCCGUUACACGGAGUGACAAAUCCCAGUCUCGAUUCGUGCCAACCCAACAGACACUUUCGGAGAUACCUGUAGUGUACCUUUAUAGCCACCCAGUUACGUUGUGGCAUUUGGCACACCCAAAGCACUCCUACGGUAUCCGGGAGUUACACAAUUUCAUGGUCUAAGGAAAUGACACUUGACAUUAGAAAAGCUUUAGCAUACUAACUACACGAUCUUUGUGCUAGGCUUAGGAUUGGGUCUUGUCCAUCACAUCAUUCUCCUAAUGAUGUGAUCCCAUUAUCAACGACAUCCAAUGUCCAUGGUCAGGAAACCGUAACCAUCUAUUGAUCAACGAGCUAGUCAACUAGAGGCUUACUAGGGACAUGUUGUUGUCUAUGUAUCCACACAUGCAUCUAAGUUUCCUAUCAAUACAAUUCUAGCAUGGAUAAUAAACGAUUAUCAUGAACAAGGAAAUAUAAUAAUAACCAAUUUAUUAUUGCCUCUAGGGCAUAUUUCCAACAGUCUCCCACUUGCACUAGAGUCAAUAAUCUAGUUCACAUCGCCAUGUGAUUAACACUCACAGGUCACAUCGCCAUGUGACCAACAUCCAAGAGUCUACUAGACUCAAUGAUCUAGUUCACAUCACUAUGUGAUAAACACUCAAAGAGUUCUGGGUUUGAUCAUGUUAUGCUUGUGAGAGAGGUUGUAGUCAACGGGUCUUGCCAUAUUCAGAUCCCUAUGUAUUUCGCCAAACUUUAUAUCGUAGAUGCUGCUACCACGUUCCACUUGGAGCUAUUCCAAAUUGUUGCUCCAUUAUACGUAUUCGGUAUCUCUACUUAGAGCUAUCCGGAUAGGUGUUAAGCUUGCAUCGACGUAACUCUUUACGUCGAACUCUUUAUCACCUCCAUAACCAAGAAACAUUUCCUUAUUCCUCUAAGGAUAAUUUUGACCGCUAUCUGGUGAUCUACUCCUAGAUCACCUUUGUACCCUCUUGCCAGACAUGUGGCAAGGCACACAUCAGGUGUGGUACUCAGCAUGGCAUACCGUAUAGAGCCUAUGACAAGAUCAUAGGGGACGACCUUCGUCCUUCCUCUUUCUUCUGCCGUGGUCAAUCUUUGAGUCUUACUCAACUUCACACCUUACAACUCAGGUAAGAACCCCUUCCUUGACUGAUCUAUUUUGAACUCCUUCAAAAACAUGUCAAGGUGUGCGUUCUUUGAAAGUAUCAUCAGGCGUCUUGAUCUAUCUCUAUAGAUCUUGAUGCCCAAUAUGUAAGCAGCUUUAUCCAGGUCUUCCUUUGAAAAUCACUCUUCAAACAAACCGUUUAUGCUUUCCAGAAAUUCUACAUUAUUUCGGAUCAACAAUAUGUCAUCCACAUAUACUUAUCAGAAAUGUUGUAGUGCUCCCACUCACUUUCUUGUAAAUACAAGUUUCUAGCAAACAUUGUAUAAACCUAAAAGCUUUGAUCACUCCAUCAAAACAUAUAUUUCGAUUCCGAGAUGCUUGCUCUAGUCCAUAGAAGGAUUGCUGGAGCCAGCAUACCUUUUAGCAUCCUUAGGAUCGUCAAAACCUUUUAUUGUAUUACAUACAACUUUUCUUACGAAAACUGGUAAGAAAACUUGUUUUGACAUCCAUCUGUAAGAUUUCAUAAUCGAAAAAUACAGCUAAUGCUAUCAUGAUUUUGACGGACUUAAGCAUCGCUACGGGUGAGAAAUUCUCAUCGUAGUCAACUCCUUGAACUUGUGAAAAGACUCUUUCCCACAAGUCGAGCUUCAUAGACGGUAACAUUACCGCCCAUGUCCGUCUUCUUCUUAAAGACCCAUUUAUCUCAAUGGCUUGCCGAUCAUCGGGCAAGUCCACCAAAGUCCAUACUUUGUUCUGAUAUAUGGAUCCUAUCUCGGAUUUCAUGGCUUCUAACCAUUUGUCAGAAUACGGGCCCACCAUCGCUUCUCCAUAGAUCGUAGGUUCAUUGUUGUCUAACAACAUGAUAUCUAAGACAGGAUUACCGUACCACUUAGGAGUAGUACAUAUCCUUGUCGACCUACGAGGUUUGAUAGCAACUUGAUCCAAAGCUUCAUGAUCACUAUCAUUAACUUCCUAUUCAACAGACGUAGGCUCCACAGAAAACAUCUUUCUAUGUUGCAUCACUCUCUGGUUGAAGUAAAGGUUUGACAACCUCAUCAAGUUCUAUCUUCCUCCCACUCAAUUCUUUCGAGAGAAACUCCUUCUCGAGAAAGGACCCGUUCUUAGCGACAAACAAUUUGCCCUCAGAUCUGAGAUAGAAGGUAUACCCAACUUGUCACCUUUGGGUAUCCUAUGAAGAUGUGUUUGUCCACUUUUGGGUUCGAGCUUCUCCAGCUGAAGCCUUAAGCAUCGCAUCCCCAAACAUUAAGAAACGACAACUUUGGUUUCUUGCCAAACCAAUGUUCAUUCGUCGUCUCAACGGACUUAGAUGGUGCCCUAUCUAAAGUGAAUGCAACUGUCUCUAACGCAUAACCUCAAAAUGAAAACGGUAGAUUGGUAAGAGACAUCAUAGAUCGCACCAUAUCUCAUAGGGUUCGAUUACGACGUCCGGACACACCAUUACCUUGUGGUGUUCCAGGUGGCUUCAACAGUGAAACAAUUCCACAAUGUCUUAAGUGAUUACCAAACUCAUAACUCAGAAAAUCCCCUUUUGAUCAGAUCGUAGGAACAUGAUCUUAUUGUUAUGAUGAUUCUUAACUUCACUCUGAAAUCGCUUGAACUUUUCAAACAUUUCAGACUUGUGCUUCAUUAAGUAGAUAUACCUAUAUCUACCCAAAUCGUCGGUGAAGAUGAGAAAAUAGCGAUAUCCACCGCACGCUUCAAUUCUCAUUGGAUCACAUGCAUCAGCAUGCAUGAUUUCCAAUAAGUCACUUGCCCGUUUCAUUGUACCUGAAAACGGGGUCUUAGUCAUCCUGCCCAUGAGGCAUGGCUCGCAUGUGUCAAGUGAUUCAAAAUCAAGUGACUCCAAACAUCCAUCGAUAUGGAGUUUCUUCAUGCAUCUUACGCCAAUAUGACCUAAUCGGUAGUGCCACGAGAAAGUGGUACUAUCAUUAUUAACUCUACAUCUUUUGGCGUGAACAUGUGUAUUACCACGACCGAGAUUCAAUGAACCAUUCACAUAGGGUGCAUGACCAUGAAAGGUAUCAUUCAUGUAAACAGAAUAACCAUUAUUCUCUAACUUAAAUGAAUGACCGUAUUGCAAUGAACAUGAUCUAAUCAUAUUCUGUAACAUCCCAAAUUUUCAAUUUCGAAUGUUAUACAUUAGAUCAUCAUGCAUAUCAUAUUUUAUUUGCUUUGGGUUUUGAUCCUAGAAAAUUCUAAGCAACUCAAGGACCCACGGAGAGAGUUGGGGAUUUCGUUAUUUUCAUAUUUGAGUUUUCUCAAAUUUUGAGAAUAGGAUCAUUUGAUUUUAUUUAUUUUAUCAUCAAUUAUUUCUAUUACAAAAAUAUGAGAGAGGGAAUAAAAUGACUUUCCCAAAAUAUAGAAAUAUUGAGGAUUUAAUAAAAAAAUGAAAUAGUUUUAUUUCAGAGUUUUCUUGUUGUUUUUAUUUGAAUUAGGAAAAAUGCGCAUAUUUCAAAAUUGCAUUUAGGGCCCAAAUAAAUGUUCACUUUGUUGGGCUUGAUUUUAGAAGCCCGGGAAAAUUUAUUUCGGGAUUUUUGGAGUCCAUUUAGUAUUUCUUUUUAUUUUUAUUCCGAGCGAAAAAAAAUGCAACCGACUUCGGGCCGUAACCGGCCAGAACUCUGCUGGCCGAGGGGCUUUAUAAGCCGCGCCUCGGGCCCGAGCCAGCCCACCAGCAGCCGCUGCCCGAACCCUAACCCUAGCCGCCAGCCGCCGCCGCCAGCCACCGCCGCCGCCCUGCCGCCGAUCCACCGGAGCCGCGCGUCGCCCGAGGUUCGCCGCACCUCGAAAUCCAUGCCGUUUUUUUAAUUUUUUUUCCGUUCGUCGUUUUUCUUUUUCGUCGGAUUUUUCCGCGGUUAUUUUCUGAUCGCGAUUCCUGAUCCGAUUUUCGUUUUAGUUUUUCUUUUCGCUCGUUUAUCAGAUUCAGGCGAUUCAAGCGCCUGGAGUUUCGUCUCGAAACCCUCUAUCCAAAUAAUCAACUUAAACAAGUUUUUGCUACUGUAAAAUUUGACUUAGGUUCAGAUUACUAGAACGAAGUUGUUUUCUUUCGCCGUUUGACUUUCUUUGCUUCGUUCGAUUUGAUUCCUUUUGCCAACCGGAGUUCUUAAGUUGAACCUUCUGGUUAGAUCUCUUAUUUGAGUUUUACCUAUGCAUUAGAUGAGUACUUAUUGUAUGCUUAUUUGUUUGCCUGCGAUAGAGUACCCGAAGUGCGCCGCCUGUUACUUCGAAUCGUUAGGUUUCACGGAUCAUCAGCAAGGCAAGUAACACUUUGAUCAUACCUUUUCUACAACCCAAUUUUUUUUUGCAUUAGAUCAAUCUUCACACAUUGCAUGAUUAGGAUCUAAUUAAACUGUGGGAUGGGAAGUAGAUGAGGUAGUACCUAUUACCUGUUUAUUAUCAAACCUUUGGGAGUUACUUCUAUGUUUGCUUAUUAUGCCAUGCUAUGCUAGUAGACGUGGAUUGGGUGAGUGAAAUCCAUGACAGAUGUGAGAUUGAUAAUUAAUGGUUUAUCUAAGGUGGCAACUUAAAUACACAUCUAGGUGGAUUGAGGCACCUGGGUAUUCCAGGACAUGCCUGUUUUUCUUUUGGACCGCCACCCAGGCUCAAAGGGAUCAUGAGAUUUUUCAAACUAGAAACUUCCGUGUGCAGCCACAAGCCAUUAUGGGCUCUGGCAUAGUUGAUUAAGUCGUGCGAACUCUUACAAGGUAGACUAGCAGAUGUAGGGGAAAGUAGGUGUACCGGUCUAUCCAUCGUAAGGUGCUAGCGCUUCUGAAAGACUGUGUCUCGGUCAUCCGUUUCUCAAACACCAUGUAAUGCGAGAAAUCCAACGGAGGCGAUCGAGUCUUGUGGAGAAAAGUGCGCAAACCUCUGCAGAGUGUAACAAACUAAUCAUGAUCAGCCGUGUCCCUGAUUAUGGACAUCUUGAGUAUCUAGUAUCUGGAUUAUCAUGUGAAUCUCAACAUGUUACUCUAAAAUUAAUGUUGUUGGGUUAAUGAUGAUGCUUAAUUGGGAUUGAGAAUGCCGUCAACCAUUCUCAAUGUUUAACAACCACCAUGAUAGUAAUUAAAUUUAUUCCUUUUGAAGUAGGGAAAAAUUGGCUUUAUGCAAAACUGUAACCAUAGAGCUUUCCACCAGCCAAAUAUGCAUAUAGUAUAGCUGUUGCAUUCCAUUACUCUCUAUGUGUUACCUUGCCAGCAUAUUCCAUGUGCUGACCCGUUUUCGGGCUGCAACGUUAAUGUUGCAGACUUUUCAGACGAUGAUUAAGGAGUUUUUAGGUCGUGGUUCUAUACUCAGUGAUGCCGUUGGAGUUGAUGAACUUACUUAUCUUCCAAGCCUGCCGCUGUUAUCGUAAUUAGAUGGCCUUAAGCCAUAUUUAUUGUAAUAAGUUCUCUUUUGAGACACUCGAUGUAAUAAGUGUGUGAUUGCUACUCUGCUAUAAAUCCUCCGAGUAUUGUGUGGUGUCAGCAUUACUGAUCCAGGGAUGACAGCGGAGCACAGAGAUCAGACUGUUUGAGGUCUGGUCGCUACAGAGAUGGUAUCAGAGCACACGCUAACUGUAGGACACGACCACUAAGCUAAAGACCUAGAUCACUACUCACUCUCUUCUCUUCUGACCUCUCAUCUUUUCUACUCUUUAGGAUGGCGGAUGCAAAGAACAAGUUCACCCAACCGAAUGAAGAUACACCCUUUGGACGCCACUUGAAGGAAGUCACUAGAUACCUGAACAUAGGAGUACCAAGCUUCACGGGAACCUACAAUGCCACUUUACCUAAAGAAGAGCGCUGGAUGAUUCAAGUUCAAAUCCCAGGAAGGACGUUCAUGCCAGUCACUGAGCCCAUAGAGUUUUCCUUUGAUGCACCAACUUAGAGUCUAGGAAAGAGCAUGGCAGCUCACAUCGCCAUGGGACGCAUUGGAGAAGUCUACCACAAGGAUCUUAAGGAUACUAUAUACCAGAUUUGUGGGCGCCGAGAUGAACACUGGGAGAUGAUCAGCACCAGGAAAGAUAGAUCAAUUGCAGCUUUUAUUCAUGAGUUAAAUCAGCACAUUCGACGACAGGAGAAUCAGAUGUGCGCCGACAUGAUAGAUCUGAAGAAGGCUAAGACUAGAAUCAAGGAACUGGAGGAAGAACUCAAGGCUACCCAUGAAGAUUAUGAAGAAGAAAUUGAAGUAUUGGUGGAGAAGAAUGACGACCUGAUCAAGAAGAUUGGGAGGCCCGACACCAGUAGAUGAAGACGAAGAACCCAAUGAGAUUAGCCUGGAAGACUACAUCAUCAUCGACGGCACCGACUCGGAAGCAGAUAGUAGCGAUGAUGACUAUGUUGAUGAAGCAGGAGCAGUUAUCAUGGAGUCUACAACCGUAGAAUAUUUCUAGUAGACCACCUCAUCAGUAGUAGUAGUCCACCAUGUAAAUAUAGUAGUCCGAGCACUUUGCGAUAGUUAGAUCGAUUGUAUGCCUUUGUUUGUUUGAAUGAAGUGAAUUGUUUGCUUUUGCCUCAUGUGCAUAUGGGUAGUGUUUUCUCUUUAGACCCCCUCUAUUCUUAUAUCUCAUCUCUUCUAAACACCAGAUGCCUCCGAGACGUGACCCCGGAUUUGCCUUUCCGCCGGAGCUCACCCAGUUGAUCCAGCAGCAGAACACCUUGAUGCAGUUGCUAGUUUAGAAUCAGAAUCAGGGGAACAACAACAACCCACCACCACCACCACCACCUGUUGACCACUUAGCCCGUUUUCUUAGGCUGAAUCUGCCGGUGUUUUCCAGUAGCACCGAGCCGAUAGUAGCAGAUGAUUGGCUCCGCAAGACAGCUAGGGAGUUGACCACCGCAUGAUGCACAGAUGCGGAGAAGGUUAAGUUUGCCGCACAUCAGUUAGAAGGACCCGCAGCAUCAUGGUGUGAGAAUUUUACAGCCACCUUCCCAGUCGACACUGUCACAUGGGACCAGUUUCAGCAGGCUUUCUGUACUGCCCAUGUUUCAGCAGGAGCUAUGGCCAUGAAGAAGCGUGAGUUUCGUAACUUGCGCCAAGGAGGACGGACAGUUGGCCAGUAUGUGGAGGAGUUUAGUAAGCUAGCACGUUAUGCCCCAGAUGACGUUGCUACGGAUGCAGCUAAGCAGGAGAAGUUCCUGGAAGGACUGAAUGAUGAGUUGAGUAUGCAGUUGAUGGUAGCCACCUUCAACAACUACCAGGAGUUGGUAGACCGUGCUCUUAUGAUUGAAGGGAAGCAGCAGCAAAUUGAGAACCGCAAGAGGAAGUAUGGACAAGGAAAGUAUAAUUCAGGAGCUCAGCAGAAGCCAUGUUUUACCCCUAGACCGGGUGGACAUUUUCAGCAUACCCAUGGAGUAGGUAGCUCGCACAAUCACAAUGGCACCAAGAAUGGUAAUGGGAAUGGAGAAAGCAAUGGCCAGAACCGCAGCACCCCAUCAACCCCAGCCAAGAGAGAUCUGAGUCAAGUCACCUGUUUCAAGUGUUCCAAGACCGGACAUUAUGCCAAUGAAUGUCCUGAAGGCCAAAACGGCAAUGGAAGCUCUGGAAAGAAGCCGAACCCUUUCAACAGGGGACAGGUGAACCACGUUAAUGUGGAGGAGGUUGAAGCUCAGCCCGAUGCAGUAAUAGGUAAGUUUUUGGUUAAGUCAUUUACUGCACUCGUUCUUUUUGAUACUGGUGCAUCGCAUUCAUACAUAUCAAGGGGAUUUGUGGAAAAGUAUAGCCUACCCACUAGGGUUCUCAAAACACCUAUGCUAGUAAGCUCACCAGGAGCAGAGUACAUGGCCAGUCAAGGGUAUUUUCAAGUGCCAUUAAGUAUAGGACGACACGUUUUCCCAACAGAUUUAAUUAUUCUGGAAUCUCAAGGUCUGGAUGUGAUUCUUGGUAUGGAUUGGCUAUCGAUGUAUGGAGGAAACAUCGAUUGUGCUAGUAAGUCAAUUUUGCUUACCACCCCAGAAGGGAGAAGGAUCAAGUAUGUAUCCCGGCAUGCGCCAAACAAGACACAAGUAAAUUCAUUAACAGGAGUUGUGCAAGAUACCAGUGGUAAGGGAAUUCCCUGAUGUAUUUCCAGAGGAGUUGCCAGGCAUGCCACCAGAUAGAGAUAUUGAGUUCUUAAUUGAGCUAUUGCCAGGCACAGGGCCAAUAUCAAAGAGACCAUAUAGGAUGCCAGCAAAGGAUUUGGUGGAAAUUAAGAAACAGAUUAAGGAGUUACUGGAUAAAGGUUACAUUCACCCAAGUUCUUCACCUUGGGGAUCACUAGUACUAUUAGUAGAGAAGAAGGAUGGAUCGUUAAGGAUGGUUGUUGAUUAUCGAGGAUUGAAUGAAGUAACAAUCAAGAACAAGUACCCACUACCAAUGAUCAAUGAUCUGUUUGAUCGAUUGCAAGGAGCUAAAGUGUUUUCCAAGAUCGAUUUGCGAUCAGGGUACCACCAGUUGAAGAUUCGAGAAUAGGAUAUUCUGAAGACAGCUUUUACCACCAGGUAUGGGCUGUAUGAGUAUACCGUUAUGUCAUUUGGUCUGACUAACGCGCCUGCCUAUUUUAUGAACAUGAUGAACAAUGUAUUUAUGGAGUUUUUGGAUAAGUUCAUCGUAGUGUUCAUUGAUGAUAUCCUAGUUUAUUCAAAGAAUGAAGAGGAAUAUAAGGAGCAUUUGCGUUUGGUACUUGGAAAGCUCAGAGAACAUCAAUUAUAUGCCAAGUUCAGCAAAUGUGAGUUUUGGUUGAAGGAAGCAGGAUUCCUCGGACACGUUAUAUCUGGAGAAGGUAUAGCUGUUGAUCCCACUAAAGUUGAUACCGUGACCAAGUGGGAAGCCCCAACUACCGUUGGAGAGAUCCGGAGUUUUCUUGGACUCGCAGGAUACUACCGGAGGUUUAUUGAAUUUUUUUCAAAGAUUUCGAAGCCUAUGACAGAGUUGUUGAAGAAAGAUACCAAGUUCAAAUGGAUUGAGCAGUGUGAGGCUAGUUUCCAGGAGUUGAAGAAACGCUUGGUUACCUCACCAGUGUUGAUUUUGCCAGAUCAGACCAAGGAUUAUGAGGUGUAUUGCGACGCUUCAUGUCGAGGACUUGGAGCAGUGCUUAUGCAGGAAGGGAGAGUUGUUUCAUAUGCCUCAAGACAACUGAAGCCCCAUGAGUUGAAUUACGCUACGCAUGAUUUGGAGUUAGCAGCCGUAGUGCAUGCCUUGAAGACAUGGAGACAUUUCCUCAUCGGAAAUCAUUGUGAGGUGUACACGGAUCAUAAGAGUUUGAAGUACAUUUUCACACAGAAGGAGUUGAACCUCAGACAAAGGAGAUGGUUGGAGCUCAUCAAGGAUUAUGAUAUGAAAUUGCAUUAUCAUUCCGGGAAGGCUAAUGUAGUAGCUGAUGCAUUAAGCCGCAAGAGCCAUGUCAAUACGUUAAUGACGGGAGAAAUACCCAAGGAGUUAGUAGAAAAUCUUCGUGAACUAUGUUUGGAAAUAGUUCCGAGAGGCUAUGUAGCAACGUUGGAAAUUCAGUCAACUUUGAUGGACAGAAUCAGGGAAGCUCAGAAGACUGACAAGGAGAUUGCUUCCAUAAAGGAGAAAAUGAAAGAAGGAAAAACUAAAGGAUUUCGUGAGGAUGAGCAUGAUACCCUAUGGUUUGAAGACCGUGUCUAGGUGCCCAAUGACCCGGAGAUCAGGAAGUUAAUUCUGCAAGAGGCCCAUGAUUCACCCUAUUCGAUUCACCCAGGGAAUACCAAGAUGUAUCUGGAUUUGAAGGAUAUUUUCUGGUGGACCGGAAUGAAGAAAGAAAUAGCAGAGUAUGUAGCAGUUUGUGAUGUAUGCCAGAGAGUAAAGGCAGAGCAUCAGAAGCCAGCAGGAUUGUUACAACCAUUGCCGAUACCCGAAUGGAAGUGGGAUAAGUUAGGCAUGGAUUUUAUCACGGGAUUGCCCAGGACUCGUCCAGGCUAUGACUCGAUUUGGGUUGUAGUCGAUCGAUUGAUGAAAGUAGCUCAUUUCAUCCCAGUAAAGACCACUUAUACCAGUGCUAAGUUGGCAAAAAUAUACAUGACCAGAAUAGUAUGUCUGCAUGGAGGUCCGAGGAGUAUCGUAUCAGAUAGAGGAACCCAGUUUACCUCAAAGUUCUGGAAGCAGUUGCACGAAACUUUGGGAACCAUGCUAGAAUUCAGUAUAGCUUUUCAUCCGCAGACAGAUGGACAGACCGAGAGAGUCAAUCAGAUUUUGGAGGAUAUGCUGAGAGCUUGUGCGCUAGAUUAUGGAUCUAGUUGGGACGAUAAUUUGCCAUAUGCAGAGUUCUCUUACAAUAACAGUUACCAAACCAGUUUGAAGAUGGACCCUUUCGAAGCUUUGUACGGAAGAAGGUGCAGGACACCGUUGUCGUGGGACGAAGUCGGAGACCGCCAGUUGUUUGGACCUGACUUGAUUAAGGAGUCUAAACAGAAAGUGAAGUUGAUUCGCGAUAGGCUCAAGGUAGCCCAGUCUAGACAAAAGAGUUAUGCAGAUUCUAAAUGCAACGAGACAAUUUACGAAGUUGGAGACAGAGCUUAUCUUCGAGUAUCUCCACUUCGGGGAACAAAGCGUUUUGGAGUUAAAGGGAAGGUAGCGCCACGAUUUGUAGGACCAUAUCGAAUUUUGGAGCGUAUGGGAGAAGUGGCCUACAAGUUGGAAUUGCCCGAAGGAUUGUCAGGAAUUCAUGAUGUGUUCCACAUUUCUCAGUUAAAGAAGUGUCAUGCGGAGAUGGCUGACAUACCAUUAAGAGACACAGUGCCUUUGGAAACUAUUCAGUUGGAUAACGAUUUGACCUACGAGGAGAAACCAGUUAAGAUCCUCGAGUUUGCCAGCCGAGUUACUCGCAACAAAGUUAUCAAGUUUUGCAAGGUUCAGUGGAGCCACCACACAGAGGAUGAAGCCACCUGGGAACGAGAGGAAGAUUUGCUCAAAGACCACCCUCACCUAUUUUCUAGCCAACCCAAAUCUCGAGGGCGAGAUUCAUCUUAAGGGGGGUAGGUUUGUACCAUCCCAAAUUUUCAAUUUGGAAUGUUAUACAUUAGAUCAUCAUGCAUAUCAUAUUUUAUUUGCUUUGGGUUUUGAUCCUAGAAAAUUCUAAGCAACUCAAGGACCCACGGAGAGAGUUGCGGAUUUCGUUAUUUUCAUAUUUGAGUUUUCUCAAAUUUUGAGAAUAGGAUCAUUUGAUUUUAUUUAUUUUAUCAUCAAUUAUUUCUAUUACAAAAAUAUGAGAGAGGGAAUAAAAUGAAUUUCCCAAAAUAUAGAAAUAUUGAGGAUUUAAUAAAAAAUCAAAUAGUUUUAUUUCGGACUUUUCUUGUUGUUUUUAUUUGAAUUAGGAAAAAUGCACGUUUUUCAAAAUUGCAUUUAGGGCCCAAAUAAAUGUUCACUUUGUCGGGCUUGAUUUUAGAAGCCCGGGAAAAUUUAUUUCGGGAUUUUUGGAGUCCGUUUAGUAUUUCUUUUUAUUUUUCUUCUGAGCGAAAAAAAACGCAACCGACUUCGGGCCGUAACCGGCCAGAACUCUGCCGGCCGGGGGGCUUUAUAAGCCGCGCCUCGGGCCCGAGCCAGCCCACCAGCAGCCGCAGCCGCUGCCCGAACCCUAACCCUAGCCGCCAGCCGCCGCCGCCGCCGCCGCCCCGCCGCCGAUCCGCCAGAGCCGCGCGUCGCCCGAGGUUCGCCCCACCUCGAAAUCCGUGCCGUUUUUUUAAAAAUUCCGUUCAUCGUUUUUCUUUUUCGUCGGAUUUUUUCGCGGUUAUUUUUUGAUUGCGAUUUCUGAUCCGAUUUUCGUUUUAGUUUUUCUUUUUGCUCGUUAAUCAGAUUUAGGCGAUUCAAGCGCCUGGAGUUUCGUCUCGAAACCCUCUAUCCGAAUAAUCAACUUAAAUAAGUUUUUGCUACUGUAAAAUUUGACUUAGGUUCAGAUUACUAGAACGAAGUUGUUUUCUUUCGCCGUUUGACUUUCUUUGCUUCGUUCGAUUUGAUUCCUUUUGCCAACCGGAGUUCUUAAGUUGAACCUUCUGGUUAGAUCUCUUAUUUGAGUUUUACCUGUGCAUUGGAUGAGUCAUUAUUGUAUGCUUAUUUGUUUGCCUGCGAUAGAGUACCCGGAGUGCGCCGCCUGUUACUUCGAAUCGUUAGGUUUCACGGAUCAUCAGCAAAGCAAGUAACACUUUGAUCAUACCUUUUCUACAACCCAGUUUUUUUUGCAUUAGAUCAAUCUUCACACAUUGCAUGAUUAGGAUCUAAUUAAACUGUGGGAUGGGAAGUAGAUGAGGUAGUACCUAUUACCUGUUUAUUAUCAAACCUUUGGGAGUUACUUCUACGUUUUCUUAUUAUGCCAUGCUAUGCUAGUAGACGUGGAUUGGGUGAGUGAAAUCCAUGACAGAUGUGAGAUUGAUAAUUAAUGGUUUAUCUAAGGUGGCAACUUAAAUACACAUCUGGGUGGAUUGAGGCACCUGGGUAUUCCAGGACAUGCCUGUUUUUCUUUUGGACCGCCACCCAGGCUCAAAGGGAUCAUGAGAUUUUUCAAACUAGAAACUUCCGUGUGUAGUCACAAGCCAUUAUGGGCUCUGGCAUAGUUGAUUAAGUCGUGCGAACUCUUACAGGGUAGACUAGCAGAUGUAGGGGAAAGUAGGUGUACCGGUCUAUCCAUCGUAAGGUGCUAGCGCUUCUGAAAGACUGUGUCUCGGUCAUCCGUUUCUCAAACACCAUGUAGUGCGAGAAAUCCAACGGAGGCGAUCGAGUCUUGUGGGGAAAAGUGCGCAAACCUCUGCAGAGUGUAACAAACUAAUCAUGAUUAGCCGUGUCCCCGGUUAUGGACAUCUUGAGUAUCUAGUAUCUGGAUUAUCAUGUGAAUCUCAACAUGUUAUUCUAAAAUUAAUGUUGUUUGGUUAAUGAUGAUGCUUAAUUGGGAUUGAGAAUGUUGUCAAUCAUUCUCAAUGUUUAACAACCACCAUGAUAGUAAUUAAAUUUAUUCCUUUUGAAGUAGGGAAAAAUUGGCUUUAUGCAAAACUGUAACCAUAGAGCUUUCCACCAGCCAAAUAUGCAUAUAGUAUAGCUGUUGCAUUCCAUUACUCUCUAUGUGUUACCUUGCCAGCAUAUUCCAUGUGCUGACCCGUUUUUGGGCUGCAACGUUAAUGUUGCAGACUUUUCAGACGACGAUUAAGGAGUUUUUAGGUCGUGGUUCUAUACUCAGUGAUGCCGUUGGAGUUGAUGGACUCACUUAUCUUCCAAGCCUUCCGCUGUUAUCGUAACUAGAUGGCCUUAAGCCAUAUUUAUUGUAAUAAGUUCUCUUUUGAGACACUCGAUGUAAUAAGUAUGUGAUUGCUACUCUGCUAUAAAUCCUCCGAGUACUGUGUGGUGUCAGCAUUACUGAUCCAGGGAUGACACCGGAGCACAGAGAUCAGAGUGUUUGAGGUCUGGUCGCUACAUAUUCAUGCUCAACGUAGACACCUGAUAACAUUUAUCUAGGUUCAAUACUAAUCUCGAAGGCAGAUGGAGCGUGCGAUGGUGAUCUCAUCAACUUUGGAAACACUUCCAACACACAUCGUCACCUCGCCCUUAGCCAUUCUCCGUUUAGUCCGUAGCUUUUGCUUCAAGUCACCAAUAAUAGCAACUGAACCGGUAUCCAAUACCCAGGUGCUACCAGGAGUACUAGUGAGGUACACAUUAAUAACACGUAUAUACUUUGUUGAAGUUACCGGCCUUCUUAUCUACCAUGCAUUUGGGGUAAUUCCGCUACCAGUGACUGUUCCCCUUACAAUAGAAGCAUUCAGUCUCGGGUUUGGGUUCAACCUUGGGUUCCUUCACUGGAGCGGAAACUGGUUUGCCAUCCAUGAAGUUUCCCUUCUAGCCCUUGCCCUUCUUGAAACCAGUGGUCUUGUUAAACCAUCAACACUUGAUGCUCCUUCUUGAUUUCUACCUUUUGCGGUCUUAAGCACCGCGAACAGCUCCGGGAUCAACUCCAUCCCUUGCAUGUCAUAGUUCAUCACGAAGAUCUAGUAGCUUAGUGAUAGUGGCUAGAGAACUCUAUCAAUCACUAUCUUAUCUGGAAGUUUAACUCCCACUUGAUUUAAGUGAUUGUAGCACCCAGACAUUCUGAGCACAUGCUCACUAGCUGAGCUAUUCUCCUCCAUCUUGUUGGCAAAAGAACUUGUCAGAGGUCUCACACCUCUCAACACGAGCAUGAGCCUGAAAUCCCAAUUUCAGCUCUUGGAACAUCUCAUAUGUUCUAUGGCGUUCAAAACAUCAUUGGAAUCCCGAUUCUAAGCCGUAAAGUAUGGUGCACUAAACUAUCAAGUAGUCAUCAGGAUGUGUCUGUCAGGUGUUCACAACAUCCACAGACGACGUUGUAGGGGUUUGCACAUCGAGCGGUGCAUCAAAGAUGGUAGCCUUCUGUGUAGCAGUGAGGACACUCCUCGGACUAUGGACCCAGUCCGCAUCAUUGCUUACAAUAUCUUUCAACUUAAUCUUUCUCUAGGAACGUAUUGAAACAGGGAGCUACAACGUGAGCUAUUUAUCUACAACAUAUUUGCAAAGACAAUUUAGACUAUGUUCAUGAUAAUUGAGUUCAUCUAAUGAACUCCCACUCAGAUAGACAUCCCUCUAGUCAUCUAAGUGAAACAUGAUCCGAGUCAACUAGGCUGUGUCCGAUCAUCACGUGAGACGGACUAGUCAACAUCGGUGAACAUCUUCAUGUUGAUCGUAUCUUCUAUACGACUCAUGCUCGACCUUUCGGUCUUCCGUGUUCCGAGGCCAUGUCUGUACAUGCUAGGCUCGUCAAGUCAACCUAAGUGUUUUUGCUGUGUAAAUUUGGCUUACACCCGUUGUAUUCGAACGUUAGAAUCUAUCACACCCGAUCAUCACGUGGUGCUUCGAAACAACGAACCUUCGCAACGGUGCACAGUUAGGGGGAACACCUUUCUUGAAAUUUUAGUGAGGGAUCAUCUUAUUUAAGCUACCGUCGUUCUAAGCAAAUAAGAUGUAAAACAUGAUAAACAUCACAUGCAACCAAAUAGUGACAUGAUAUGGCCAAUAUCAUUUUGCUCCUUUUGAUCUCCUUCUUCGGGGCUCCAUGAUCAUCGUUGUCACCGGCAUGACACCAUGAUCUCCAUCAUCAUGAUCUCCAUCAUCGUGUCUUCUUGAAGUUGUCUCGUCAUCUAUUACUUCUACUACUAUGGCUAAUGUUUUAGCAAUAAAGUAAAGUAAUUACAUGACGUUUAUGUUGACACGCAGGUCAUAAAUAUAUUAAGACAACUCCUAUGGUUCCUGCCGGUUGUCAUACUCAUCGACAUGCAAGUCGUGAUUCCUAUUACAAGAACAUGAUCAAUCUCAUACAUCACAUAUAUCAUUCAUCACAUCCUUUUGGCCAUAUCACAUCACAAGGCAUAUGCUGCAAAAACAAGUUAGACGUCCUCUAAUUGUUGUUGCAAGUUUUUACGUGGCUGCUAUAGGUUUCUAGCAAGAACGUUUCUUACCUACGCGAAAACCACAACGUGAUAUGCCAAUUUCUAUUCACCCUUCAUAAGGACCCUUUUCAUGGAAUCCGAUCUGACUAAAGUGGGAGAGACAGACACCCGCUAGCCACCUUAUCCAACUAGUGCAUGUCAGUCGGUGGAACCAGUCUCACGUAAGAGUACGUGUAAGGUCGGUCCGGGCCACUUCAUCCCACGAUGCCGCCGAAUCAAGAUAAGACUAGUAACGACAAGCAAAUUGACAAAAUCGACGCCCACAACAACUUGUGUUCUACUCGUGCAUAGAAACUACGCAUAAACCUGGCUCUGAUACCACUGUUGGGGAACGUAGCAGAAAUUCAAAAUUUUCUACGCAUCACCAAGAUCAAUCUAUGGAGUAAUCUAGCAACGAGGGGAAGGAGAGUGCAUCUACAUACCCUUGUAGAUCGCUAAGCGGAAGUGUUCAAGUGAACGGGGUUGAUGGAGUCGUACUCGUCGUGAUCCAAAUCACCGAUGAUCGUAGUGCCGAACGGACGACACCUCCGUGUUCAACACACGUACAACCCGGUGACGUCUCCUACGCCUUGAUCCAGCAAGGGGAGAAGGAGAGGUUGGGGAAGACUCCAUCCAGCAGCAGCACGACGGCGUGGUGGUGGUGGAGGAGCGCGGGACUCUAGCAGGGCUUCACCAAGCACUACGAGAGAUGAGGAGGGAGAGAGGUAGGGCUGCGCCAACAGGGAGAGCAAACAGGGAGAGCCCCAUACCUCAAGUAUAUAUAGGGGGAGGGGAGGGGCUGCGCCCCCACCUAGGGUUCCCUCCCUAGGGGUGGCGGCAUCCCCCAGAUCCCAUCUGGGAGGCGGCCAAGGGGGAGAGAGAGGGGGGCGCACCUAGGGUGGGCCUUAGGGCCCAUCUGCGCCUAGGGUUUGCCCCCUCUCCUCUUGAGGACGCCUUGGUCCCUUGGUGGGAGGCGCCUUAGCCCACAUAGGGCUGGUUCCUUCCCACUUAUGGCCCACGCAAGCCUCCAGGGCUGGUGGCCCCUCCCGGUGGACCCCCGGACGCCUCCGGUGGUCCCGGUACACUACCGGUGAUGCCCCGAACACUUCCGGUGGCCAAAACAGGACUUCCCAUAUAUAAAUCUUUACCUCCGGACCAUUCCGGAACUCCUCGUGACGUCAGGGAUCUCAUCCGGGACUCCGAACAACAUUAGGUAACCACGUAUAUCUAUUCCCUAUAACCCUAGCGUCAUCGAACCUUAAGUGUGUAGACCCUACGGGUUCGGGAACCAUGCAGACAUGACCGAGACAACUCUCUGGUUAAUAACCAACAGCAGGAUAUGGAUACCCAUGUUGGCUCCCACAUGUUCCACGAUGAUCUCAUCGGAUGAACCACGAUGUCAAGGAUUCAAUCAAUCCCGUAUACAAUUCCCUUUGUCUAGCGGUACGAUACUUGCCCGAGAUUCGAUCGUCGGUAUCCCGAUACCUUGUUCAAUCUCGUUACCGGCAAGUCUCUUUACUCGUUCCGUAACACAUCAUCCCGUGAUCAACUCCUUGGUCACAUUGUGCACAUUAUGAUGAUGUCCUACCGAGUGGGCCCAGAGAUACCUCUCCGUUACACGGAGUGACAAAUCCCAGUCUCGAUUCGUGCCAACCCAACAGACACUUUCGGAGAUACCUGUAGUGUACCUUUAUAGCCACCCAGUUACGUUGUGACGUUUGGCACACCCAAAGCACUCCUACGGUAUCCGGGAGUUGCACAAUCUCAUGGUCUAAGGAAAAUGACACUUGACAUUAGAAAAGCUUUAGCAUACGAACUACACGAUCUUUGUGCUAGGCUUAGGAUUGGGUCUUGUCCAUCACAUCAUUCUCCUAAUGAUGUGAUCCCGUUAUCAACGACAUCCAAUGUCCAUGGUCAGGAAACCGUAACCAUCUAUUGAUCAACGAGCUAGUCAACUAGAGGCUUACUUGGGACAUGUUGUUGUCUAUGCAUCCACACAUGUAUCUGAGUUUCCUAUCAAUACAAUUCUAGCAUGGAUAAUAAACGAUUAUCAUGAACAAGGAAAUAUAAUAAUAACCAAUUUAUUAUUGCCUCUAGGGCAUAUUUCCAACACUAUAAAGUAUGCCAUGCUGUGUACCAGACCUAUUGUAUACCCUGCCCUGAGUCUGGCAAGGGAGUACAAUAGUGAUCUAGGAGUAGAUCACUAGACAUUGGUCAAAAAUUAUCCUUAGUGGAAUAAGGAUAUGUUUCUCGAUUAUGGAGGUGACAAAAGGUUCGUCGUAAAGGGUUACGUCAAUGCAAAUUUUGACACUGAUCCAGAUGACUCUAAGCCUCAAUCUGGAUACAUAUUGAAAGUGGGAGCAAUUAGCUAGAGUAGCUCCAUGCAGAGCUAUCACGACCGGGUUUUCCGGACAUUGAUUUCCAGAAAAUGGCCGUCGUGCUCACCAGCCCCAGGAUUACUGUUAGCUGAUGAGGCACCAACUUGAUACAGAAAUUCCAAGCAAAAAUACAAAAUAUGUAGUACAAGACCAUUGUGGCCUAUGAGUACAUCAAAUGGUUUCUAGUGGUCGAUGGCGGAAGCGGUUUGUGAGUCAUCAGUGUCUAUGGGACUCCAUUUCCCACAGGAACAGCUGACCAGGUUAACUCCUAUCUUCGCGAGGCUGCUAUCCCCGUUGCUUAGGUCCCGAGGCUGUCAUCGCCACGCUCCUCUCCAAGCAAGCAAUCUGGCCAAGACAAUAGCCAGGGACAAGCCAGUGAGUACUUUGAAUGUACUCGCAAACAUUAGGAACACAGGUAUAAUAUAAUUGAUCAACAUACACUGAAAUAUUCUAUGAUCACAUCGUCAGUCAUAAAUAAAAUCUUGAUGCAUGCAAGCAGGUUAUUUAUAUGCUACAGGAAUAUGUAAUGACAAAACAGUAAUAAAAUGCACCGAUCGGAUGUCUGAAGUGAUGUCUCAAAAGGAUAGCAAAAGUGAGCAUGCCUCAAUCGGGCGUCUUAGCGACACCACACAAAGGGCUUAUAAGGUAAAUAAAUAAUAAGCAUGCCACAGUCGGGCGUCUGAGCGACACCACAUAAAGGGCUUAUGAAGUAAAUAAAAUAACAAGCAUGCCACAGUCGGGCAUCUGAGCGACACCACAUAGAGGGCUUAUGAAGUAAAUAAAAUAACAAGCAUGCCACAGUCGGGCGUUUGAGCGACACCACAUAAAGGGCUUAUGAAGUAAAUAAAAUAACAAGCAUGCCACAAUCGGGCGUCUGAGCGACACCACAUAAAGGGCUUAUAAGUAAAUGAAAUAACGAACCUGCCACAGUCGGGCGUCUGAGCGACGCCACAUAAAGGGCUUAUACGAAAAUGAAAUAACAAACAUGCCACAGUCGGGCGUCUGAGCGACGCCACCUAAAGGGCUUAUAUAUAUAUAAACAUAAUCAUAGUGAAUAUCCAGGAGGUGGUACCGUCCCAGGGAUAUUCAUUAUUUCAAACAAUGCAAACGGCUAGUCCAUAAUGAUAAUAAUCAUAACCAUCAUAUAUCACAAGUCAUAAUCAAUAUUCGGGUUAGUAGUUUCUCCUCCAAAGACCGACACUAAGACUGACACUUGACCCAUCCCAGACUGUAGUCCUUAACCAUGGACACGGCUAUUCGAAUAGGUUUAAUAUCUCUGCAGAGGGUGUACUCUUUACCCACGAGUAACAGAUUCCUUUAGUCCAUCGGGACUAAUUCCGUCUACGACCUUUUAGUUGAAAACACGCCUAACUUGCACACACCAGCUUAACUCAUCGGUGUCUGGAAUCACCCACGACACUUGUUAAGCAAAACUCUAAGUGGGGAGGCUACAACCUCGCGUAGCAUGGGAUCAAAUUUAUAUCGCGCACUCUAAGGGGUGGCCUCCCCUCUCGGUCCCAACCGGAAACACCCAUGCCCCCUGACCAGGUGGCAUGCCUACCGGCUACAACCGACAUCUUCCACCAUGGCCUCUCUGUACGGUGUGUGCUGGAACGGGGUUGACGACUUACUAAACCGUACCCUACCCACGGCAGGGACGAGUGGUAGUACGAGGCAAAUAUGGGGGUUACUGGAACAAGACUCGAUCUACGGCCGACUGGAGGCUUAUAAGUUCCCUGCAUGACAUGUAUAUCAAAUAUAUUUCAACUGACGAAAUCACCACCCAUUAUACCUUACUAUGCCAUACCGGACAUAACCGUCCCGACGGGGACCGGCGACAAGCUCACUCCUACCCAAGGCAGAGGCUUUCCCGGAUUCCUUUCCGGCAUGCAUGCAAGGCACAUGAGGAUGAUUACCAUCACAAGUAUAUUCAUUUCCAACAGCAAGGAAAUCACUAAUAUGCCUUCAUGCAAAUGAUCACAUCGCCACAUAAAAUAACGAGUUCUCCGAAAUGAGAUGGUGUUAUAAACGAGUCAACUAACACACCAAAAAUAUUAAGCCGGGGUUCAGAAUGCUUGCCUUCAAGGUGUGGAGAGGUGGGGGUGCUCUCCAAAACUUUUGAAAGUUUUCUUCCUCUCUCCAAAAUCCUAUUUUCAACAAGUUUGAAUUAACACACAAUUUCAAAAUAGCACAAAAAAAGUUGUUUGUAUUUUUUUUCAAAUAAAUAUGAUAAAAAAACUAGACAAAAUUUUAAAGAGGACAGAAAAAGAAUCAAUCAAAAAUCAUUUUCUGUUUAAAGGUUAUAAGAGUUUUAAUCUAGGGACUCAUCUGUAAUGAAACAGAAAGUUCCCAGGGGCUAACUUAUAAAAACAGAAAACGAUUCGAUUGAAAAUACGCUGGCCCAGAGGGGUGACGUACUUUGGCAGAAGACGCCUUCAGAAAACAGUUUGUUUAAAAAGAACUGAGAGGCUGACGGGUGGGUCCCACCCGUUAGGUUUGAAUUUUUAAACGGGGGACGAAGCUCGUCGGCGCCCGAGAGCCGCGGUGGUCGCCGGCGGCGAUCCACGGCGAGGCAGGGAGAUCGGAGAGUACCUCCGUGUUCAGGGCGCCAUUCCGCGUCUAUGGGAGGUGGUGGUGGUCGCCGGCGAGUACCACGUCGGCGGCGACGCUGGCUCCGGCGGACGGCGAUUCGGGUGGUUGUGGACCUCGUCGGAGAGAGCUGUGAAGAUCAAAUUGGAGUGGGGGUUGGACUCUUAGUUGCUCGAGAGGGUUGCUGACGAAGUUGGGGUGCCGGAGACGGCCUCAUCGGAGCGAAUCGAGGUGUAGGCCGAGGCGGAACGGGGCGGCCGGAGUCGGGGAAGAAGGGCCCCUCGAGGCUCCUCCAGUGGCCAGGCAGGGUCUAGUGAGAUGGUGGAGUUGUGCGGGGGCGAGAGCAGGCUCGGGGGUGCUAUAUAUAGCCGGCCCGAGUCGGUUGCCGCGAACGGAUAAGUCCGGCGAGGUGAUUACGGCGGUGCCGUGGUUGCACGGGAGGGUUUUGAGGUUGAGCGUCGUCGUGGGCAUUCCCUGGUUCUGUUUAGGUGCUAACCGCGUCGGGAUUUGGUUGCUUAGGGGGAGUUCGACGGAACGGGGCGACGCGGGCCCGUCGGUGGCAGGGAGCACGCUCUGUGCGUGCCGCGCCACGGCGACGGUGCCGCAUGCGUGCGCUGGCAAGGAGAUGGCCAUGCGGAGCUACCAGGAGGAUUGGGCGGCGCCGAACGGCGUUGAGCCGCUGUUCUGCUCCCUGUCGGCCGCUACGGUGGUUAGGCCGCCGCAAGACACGCCGGCGCAGGCGGGCCAGGGUGCCACCGACGCCAGGAAGGCGCCAAGCGCGCGUGUGGAGCUCCGGACAAGCAGGCCAGGCGGCGAGCAACGUGCCAAGGGCACUGUGGACAUGUGACUGAAUCUCUGACGGAGAAUGACACUGCAAAUUCUGAAUUUACUGAACAUGAACAAAAACAGUGCACGCCAAGUGUUCGACAAAAUGAUUCUGGCCUCUAGGGAUUUUUCCUUGAGCUGAUUUUUGGUGGCGUGGCCUCUCAUUGCACCUGGAGGCUGCCUGAAUUUUGGAAGAAUUUUUUGGAGAAGAGAAGAUAUUAAUUUCACCAAAUUUGACAAAUCUGGUCCAAACUUGCAGAGGCUGAAACUUGAAAAUUUUAAAAAGAAGAAGAGUGGAUCUUGAUGGUCCUAGGUUGUGGGUGCUAAGGACUAUCCAGAGGGGUUGGUUUGAGAUCAAAACUCAAAGGAAAUUAGGUACUUGCUUUGCAAAUCACCUAGGCUUAAAAUAAUUAACAGAAAUGUUUUGGGGAAUAGAAUAAAUGAAAUAAAAUCCAAAAAUGGGUUGGACUUGUUGGAACAGAAUGAAAAUGAGGUUGAUUCACUCAAAAACUUCAAAUAACAUCAUUGGGUUUUUUUCUGCAUAAAGUUGAAUCAUAAGCUACUAUCAACAUCCCAUAAUUUUGGUGGAGGCUAGAAAGAAACAUUUAAAUGGGUUGUAGUGCAAAAUUGUGCAAAAUUGCAUUCUGGACCAGAGAAGAAAAUUGGGUGCAGAGCUCAAAAUAUUUCAUGAAUAAAAGAUAUUUUUGUAUAAAAGUGAUUUAAAAACAUCACAUGACAUCUCCAAAUUUUGGUUGGAAUAUUAAGUGAAUUUAACAAAUGGUUGUAGUUCAAUUAUGGUCAUGUAACCUUGAAAACCAAUUUUCAAGAAAAUAAAGAUCAGACAAAUUAAUUAUGUAAUUAUUUCUACUAAUAAAGGAAGAUUUUUUCUUGAGAGGUUAAACAAGUCCAAUAACAUAUUUGAAAGGUUUUCACUUUAGGGAACAACUCAAUGAUAAUAAGAAAGGAAAUGUUUAAAAAAAUCAAAAGGGAGUCCAAAAAAUCAAAGUUUUAAUUCCUGGCAAAAAUUUUAAUUUAAUAAAACAAGGUCAAAAUUUUGGGGUGUCACAAGAGCAUUGUUGACAUAGAAAUUUGCAAAAUACUUACGAAUCUGAAUGUGGCAGACCCAUUUACUAAACUUCUCUCACAAGCAAAACAUGAUCACACCUUAGUACUCUUUGGGUGUUAAUCACAUAGCGAUGUGAACUAGAUUACUGACUCUAGUAAACCCUUUGGGUGUUGGUCACAUAUCGAUGUGAACUAUGGGUGUUAACCACAUAAAGAUGUGAACUAUUGAUGUUAGAUCACAUGGCGAUGUGAACUAGAUUAUUGACUCUAGUGCAAGUGGGAGACUGAAGGAAAUAUGCCCGAGAGGCAAUAAUAAAGUUAUUAAUUAUUUCCUUAUAUCAUGAUAAAUGUUUAUUAUUCAUGCUAGAAUUGUAUUAACCGGAAACAUAAUACAUGUGUGAAUACAUAGACAAACAGAGUGUCACUAGUAUGCCUCUACUUGACUAGCUCGUUGAUCAAAGAUGAUUAUGUUUCCUAACCAUAGACAUGAGUUGUCAUUUGAUUAACGGGAUCACAUCAUUAGGAAAAUGAUGUGAUUGACUUGACCCAUUCCGUUAGCAUAGCACAUGAUCGUUUAGUUUGUUGCUAUUGCUUUCUUCAUGACUUAUACAUGUUCCUAUGACUAUGAGAUUAUGCAACUCCCGUUUACCGGAGGAACACUUUGUGUGCCACCAAACGUCACAACGUAACUGGGUGAUUAUAAAGGUGCUCUACAGGUGUCUCCGAAGGUACUUGUUGGGUUGGCGUAUUUCGAGAUUAGGAUUUGUCACUCCGAUUGUCGGAGAGGUAUCUCUGGGCCCUCUCGGUAAUGCACAUCACUUAAGCCUUGCAAGCAUUGAAACUAAUGAGUUAGUUGCAGGAUGAUGUAUUACGGAACGAGUAAAGAGACUUGCCGGUAACGAGAUUGAACUAGGUAUUGAGAUACCGACAAUCGAAUCUCGGGCAAGUAACAUACCGAUGAUAAAGGGAACAACGUAUGUUGUUAUGCGGUCUGACCGAUAAAGAUCUUCGUAGAAUAUGUGGGAGCCAAUAUGAGCAUCCGGGUUCCGCUAUUGGUUAUUGACCGGAGACGUGUCUCGGUCAUGUCUACAUUGUUCUCGAACCCGUAGGGUCCGCACGCUUAAGGUUUUGAUGACAGUUAUAUUAUGAGUUUAUGAGUUUUGAUGUACCGAAGGAGUUCGGAGUCCCAGAUGAGAUCGGGGACAUGACGAGGAGUCUCGUAAUGGUCGAGACGUAAAGAUCGAUAUAUUGGACGACUAUAUUCGGACAUCGGAAAGGUUCCGAGUGAUUCGGGUAUUUUUCGGAGUACGGGAGAGUUACGGAUAUUCGCCGGGGAGUAUAUGGGCCUUAUAGGGCUUUAGGGGAAAGAGAGAAGAGAGGUUGGGCGCCCCCCAAGGCCUAGUCCGAAUUGGACUAGGGGGAGGGGCUGCGCCCCCUCCUUCCUUCUCUUCUCCCUUCCCUUGCCUUGAGUCCUACUCCUACUACUUGGAAGGGGAGGAAUCCUACUCCCGGUGGGAGUAGGACUCCUCCAGGACGCGCCAUAGGGCCGGCCCUCUCCCCCCUCCUCCACUCCUUUAUAUACGUGGCCAGGGGCACCCCAUAGACACAAGUUGAUCGUCAUGAUCGUUCUCUUAGCCGUGUGCGGUGCCCCCCUCCACCAUAGUCCUCGAUAAUAUUGUAGUGGUGCUUAGGCGAAGCCCUGCGACAGUAGAACAUCAAGAUCGUCAUCACGCCGUCGUGCUGACGGAACUCUUCCCCGACACUUUGCUGGAUCGGAGUCCGGGGAUCGUCAUCGAGCUGAAUGUGUGCUAAAACUCGGAGGCGCCGUAGUUUCGGUGCUUGAUCGGUCGGGCCGUGAAGAUGUACGACUACAUCAACCGCGUUGUCAUAACUCUUCCACUGUCGGUCUACGAGGGUACGUAGACAACACUCUCCCCUCUCGGUUCUAUGCAUCACCAUGAUCUUGCGUGUGCGUAGGAAAAUUUUGAAAUUACUACGUUCCCCAACAAUAAGCCUUGCAAGCAUUGCAACUAAUAAGUUAGUUGCGGGAUGAUGUAUUACAGAACGAGUAAAGAGACUUGCCGGUAAUGAGAUUGAACUAGGUAUUGAGAUACCGAUGAUCAAAUCUCGGGCAAGUAACAUACCGAUGACAAAUGGAACAUCGUAUGUUGUUAUGCGGUCUGACCGCUAUAAGAUCUUCGUAGAAUAUGUAGGAGCCAAUAUGAGCAUCCAAGUUCCGCUAUUGGUUAUUGAUUGGAGAUGUGUCUCGGUCAUGUCUACAUUGUUCUCGAACCCGUAGGGUCCGCACGCUUAGCGUUACGAUGACAGUUUCAUUAUGAGUUUAUAUGUUUUGAUGUACCGAAGGUUGUUCGGAGUCCCGGAUGUGAUCAUGGACAUAACGAGGAGUCACAAAAUAGUCGAGACAUAAAGAUUGAUAUAUUGGACAACUAUAUUCGGACACAAGAAUGGUUCCGGGAGUUAUCGGAUAUAAAACAGAGUACCGGGGGGUUACCGGAACCCCCCCGGGGGUUAAUGGGCCUCAUGGGCCCAAAGUGGAGCAGAGGAGGGGCGGCCAGGGCAGGCUGCACGCCCCCUCCACCUCUAGUCCGAAUUGGACAAGGAGGGAGGGGCUCCCCCCUUUCCUUUCUCUCCUCUCUCCCUUCCUUCCCCCUCUCCUAGUUGGACAAGGAAAGGAGGGAGUCCUACUCCCGGUAGGAGUAGGACUCCUCCCUGGCGCGCCUCCUCCUGGCCGGCCGCCCCUCCCCUUGCUCCUUUAUAUACGGGGGCAGGGGGCACCUCUAUACACAACAAUUGAUCCUUGAGAUCUAUUAGCCGUGUGCGGUGCCCUCCUCCACCAUAAUCCUCGAUAAUAUUGUAGCGGUGCUUAGGCGAAGCCCUGCGACGGUAGAACAUCAAGAUCGUCACCACGCCGUCAUGCUGAUGGAACUCUUCCCCGACAUUCUGCUGGAUCGGAGUCCGGGGAUCGUCAUCGAGCUGAACGUGUGCUAGAACUCGGAGGUGCCGUAGUUUCGGUGCUUGAUCGGUCGGGCCGUGAAGACGUAUGACUACAUCAACCGCGUUGUGCUAACGCUUCCGCUUCCGGUCUACGAGGUUACGUAGACAACACUCUCCCCUCUCGUUGCUAUGCAUCACCAUGAUCUUGCGUGUGCGUAGGAAUUUUUUUGAAAUUACUACGUUCCCCAACAAUAUUAUGUCCCCUGGAGUUGCAGGUCGUCUGGAAAGGGAAUCAGCAGCACUAUUUUCAAUCCCUUUUUUAUAUUCAAUGGCAUACUGGCGCCCAAGUAGUUUAGUGAGUGCUUUCUUUUGCCACCUGGUGUGCAAACGUUGCUCUGACAGACAUGCCAGACUUCUUUGAACAGUUCUGAUGCUGAAUUCAGAUAACUGCAAAUACUGGCGCCAGUGUUCCACUGCUAGAAGAAUGGCCAACAAUUCCUUCUCAUACACUGAAAGUGUCUGAUUUCUGGGCCCAAGAGCUUUGUUUACGUAAGCAAUUGGGUGGCCUUCCUGCAUAAGUACCGCCCCAAUUCCUACAUCACAGGCAUCUGUCUCCACAAUAAAUUUCUUGGAGAAAUCAGGUAAGGCCAGUACUGGGGCUGAUGUCAGAGCUUGCUUCAGAAGCACAAAGGCUUGUUGUUCAUUGUAUGUCCACAGAAAUGGGACUCCCUUUUUGAGAAGGUUAGUAAGAGGUUUGCUCAGCAUACCAUAGUGGGCUAUGAACUUCCUGCAAUACCCAGCCAGGCCCAAAAAUCCCCUGACUUCCUUAGCAGACACAGGUGUUGGCCAGUUCCGAAUAGUAUAAAUCUUGGAAGAGUCAGUAGCUACCCCUUGGCCACUGAUGACAUGUCCCAAGUAAACAACCUGAGCUUGUGCAAAAGCACAUUUUGAUAGUUUCACUUGCCACUGAUGUUGUAAGAGCAGUUUCAACACUUCUUCCAAAUGCUGUAAGUGCAGUGCAUAAGAAGCACCGAAUAUGAGGAUAUCAUCAAAGAAAAGCAACACAAAUUUCCUGACACAGGGUGACAGUGUCUCAUUCAAGGCAAAAUUGAAUGUAUUAGGUCCUCCAGUAAGACCAAAGGACAACACCAGAAAUUCAAAAUGGCCAAAAUGUGUCUGAAACGCUGUUUUGUGUUCUUCCCCAGGGGCCAAUCUGAUCUGAUGAUAACCUGCUCGAAGGUCCAACUUGGAAAACCAACAGGCUCCAGACAACUCAUCCAAUAACUCAUCAAUAACAGGGAUUGGAUAUUUGCUCUUCGCUGUGAUAGCAUUCAAUUUCCUAUAAUCAUAUAUAGGUCUCCAAGUUUUAUCCUUCUUCUGCACUAAUAUAACUGGGGAAGAGAAAGCACUGGUGCUGAGUCUAAUAAUUCCAGCAUCCAACAUUUCUUUCACUUGCUUUUCCAUUUCAUCUUUCAGAGCAGGAGGUAGUCUGUAGGGCCUGCUGGACACAGGUUGAGCUCCAGGAACUAAAGGAAUUUUAUGGUCAUACUUUCUUCUUGGAGGGAGACCAGAGGGAGCUUCAAACACAGGAGCAUAUUAUUCAACAUUGCUUGGAUGCCAUAGGGCAGUUCAGAUACUGCCAUAUCUUCAGUUACCAACAGGGCUGGCAUUUCUACCAGAGCAUAGACUUGAGGGACAUCAUCCUGACCCAAUAGAGUAAUUUGUUGCCCUGAGUGUUGUAAGGGCAACCAAUGUGCAGCCCAAUCUAUUUGCAUACGACAGUGAGCAGCUAACCAAUCCAAACCCAAAAUUCCAUGGUAAGAUCCCAAAGGAAAAACCCUGAAGUUACUGACAAACUCAUUACCAGCACAGGACCACUUGCUAUCCGGUAACUGUUGAGAGCAUGGAACUAAACACUACUAGAAAAAGGGCUAUAGAUGGGAUUGACACUAAUGGCGCACCAGACAAGCGGUGCGCCAUUAGUAUAUACUAAUGGCGCACCACCUUCUGAUACGCCAUUAGAGCUGAAACUACUAAUGGCGCACCUGGCCCAGGGUGCGCCAUUAGUAUCAAUUUUUUUUGAACUAGUGCGCCUGUCCAAACAUACUAAUGGCGCAUCCAGACACAGUGCGCCAUUACUAGUUGUAACUAGUAAUGGCGCACCUGUCGGAAAGUGCGCCACUAAUGUUGUUUUUUUAUUAUAUUUUUUAUUCCUUUUUUUUGCAAAACUACUAAUGGUGCACUGUUCGACCGUGCGCCAUUACUAGUUUAAACUAGUAAUGGCGCACUGUGGAACAGUGCGCCAUUAGUAUGUUUUUUUGCAAAACUACUGAUGGCGCACCACCAGAUGGUGCGCCAUUAGUAACCUGGGUUACUAAUGGCGCAUUUAGAGCUGGUGCGCCAUUAGUAAGUGGGCAGCAACAAGAUAUUUUGGACAGCCUCUCCUACCCACACUCACUUUCUCCCCACUUCAUUCUCUCCACCUCCUCCUUGUCUCGGGUGCCUCCUCUUUUUCACCUCAUUUCCACCAUAGAUUCAUUCAAUUUAAGUGGUUAAAUUACCUUGUUUUGAUAGGUAAGUAAGGGGGGAAGCUAUAUUUAUGUUGUUCUCCCUACAACAAUGUGCACAUGCACUUUUUAUGGCCUAGCUAGAUCUAUGUAUGUUCGUGGUGUUGCAUAUGUUUGUGGUGUUGCAUAUGUGUUUGUGUUUGGAGGUGUACCGGUACUUGAAAUGCGAUAGUUGCCAAUAUUUUGCCGGAAUGUUGAUUCAUUUCCGUUUCGGCGAGAAUUUUGGCAUUAAGCAUUCUUUUUGGUCCUAUUUUUAGGGAAAGUCAUGCCAAAUUUUUUCUUGGUUCUAAAAUAUCGUUUUGCUCUACCCCGCAGGCGACCAUGGUCCGCACGAUGACCGAAGGCAUCGUGAAUAGGUUUUUGAGGUCCACGAAGGCCGAGAUGCUUCAAAAGAACAAGACGGAGAUAAGAUGUCCGUGUCGAAGAUGCAAGCUGAAGAGCCUUAUUGCGGACCCAGAAUCCGGGCAGGUGCGGGACCACCUGCUCUUGCGUGGUUUCAUGGAUGGCUAUCGGUGGCAAGGUGAUGAAGAUGACUAUGAAGUCGUCCAUGGGGGCCGGGCAAGAAAUGAGGAAGGGCAGCAAGACAACCACCGCGGCUCGGGCGGGCGAGAAGACGAAGAAUCCCCAGGAGAUGAUCACGAUGGUGAUGCUAUACACAGUCAUCAUGUAGAAGAUGCAGGACAUGAUGAUGAGGAAGAUGCCGGAGCAGACGACGGGCAUGAUCAUGAAGAUGAUGAUGCCGGCGGAGCAGACGACGCUGGACCAUCGAUGGGUUGGGUGCAGGACCCUCAUAUUCAAGAGCUGCUUCUCAAGCAGACGGAUAACGCAAUAGCUGCCGCCCGAGAGAAAGCCAAGAUGGAUCAACUUGAGUUAGACGCGGUUACUCCAUUGUAUGAAGGAUGCAGGCCCGAGGAUACCCGCCUGAAAGUAACGCUCAUGGCUCUGGAGAUGAAGGUAAAACACAAAAUGACCAACGCAUGCUUCGACGAGAACAUGUCAUUCUGGCACGAACGUCUUCCCAAGGGGAACAAGUGCCCUACCAGUUUGGAGGAGGCGAAGAAAAUCGUGUGUCCUAUGGAUUUACCGCACGUGAAAUACCAUGUGUGCAUGAACAAUUGCAUCAUUUAUCGGGACGAGCACACGGAGUCUACCAUAUGUCCGGUGUGCGGCGUCACUCGAUACAAGAAGAGGAAGAAAGCUCCUCGAAAAGUGGUGUGGUACUUUCCGAUCACUCCUCGUCUGCAGCGGUAUUUCACGGACCCUAAGGUAGCAAAGCUCCUGCGUUGGCACGCGGAUAGGGAGGAGAAGAAGCGAGAAGAUGACGCAAAUGAUCCGGAGAUAGAUAAAAAAGACAAGAUGCCGAGUCACCCUAAGGAUGCGAGCCACUGGCAAGCGUUGUACUUCGAAGACCUAGAAUUUGGGAAUGAUGCAAGGAACAUCGUGCUGGGCGCGAGCACCGAUGGAGUCAAUCCGUUUGGCAGCCAGAGAAGCACACAUAGCACCCGGCCUGUGUUUGUGUGGAUGUACAACCUUCCCCCCUGGUUGUGCAUGAAUAGGAAGUACAUUCACAUGAGUAUGCUAAUUGAAGGACCGAAACAACCAGGGAAUGACAUCAAUCUGUAUCUGGGGCUGCUGAAAGAGGAGCUUGACACGCUGUGGAAAACGCCAGCCAAUACGUGGGAUGCCGCAGAGAAAGAAUAUGUCCCUAUGAGAGUCGCGCUGCUCACGACGGUGCACGACUAUCUCGGUUACGGAUAUGUCGCGGGGCAGGUGGUCCACGGAUUUUCUGGAUGCGUCAGGUGCAUGGAUGACACAACGUAUCGCCAGCUAGAUAGAGAUCCCGGGUCUUCGAAAACCGUGUUCAUGGGACAUCGAAGGUGGCUUCGCGAUGAUGACCCGUGGAGAAAACGCAAGGAUCUGUUCGAUGGUGAAACCGAACCCCAAGGACGCCCGCGUACGAGGAGUGGCGAGGAAAUAGAUGAGCUGUUGAAAAAUUGGAAAGAUUGCCCACUGCCGGGAAAGAAGCAAAAGGCACCAGAGCCGGGAAAGAAGCGAAAGGCGCCAGAGCCGCUGGUGAAGGUAUGGAAAACGAGGUCUGUUUUCUGGGACUUGCCGUACUAGAAGAUCCACUGUGUGCCUCACAGCCUUGAUGUAAUGCAUAUCACGAAGAACGUGUGCGAGAGUCUGCUUGGUACCCUGCUCAACAUGCCAGAGAGGACCAAAGAUGGGCCGAAAGCAAGGGCAGACUUGAAAUCAAUGGGCAUCAGGCAAGAGCUUCAUGCUAUAUAUGAUGAUGAUGAUGAUGAGGCGAAGCAGGACACGGAAAGUCAUCGCAAAGGCAAAAAGGCCAAGAAGACCGGAAAUGACUACCCUCCCGCGUGCUUCACUCUAAGUCAGGAGGAGAUCGAGCAGUUUUUCACCUGCCUCCUAGGAGUAAAACUUCCUUACGGUUACGCGGGGAAGAUAAGCAGAUACCUAGACCCAGCGAAGCAGAAGUUCAGCGGGAUGAAGUCUCACAACUGUCACGUGCUGAUGACGCAGAUACUUUCAGUUGCAAUCCGUGGGAUCAUGGACGCGCACGUCCGUGAAACGCUAUUUGGCCUAUGCAACUUUUUUGAUGUCAUCUCUCGGAAGUUGGUUGGCGUGAGGCAACUCAGAAGGCUACAGGAAGAGAUCGUGGUGAUACUAUGCGAGCUUGAGAUGUACUUCCCGCCCGCAUUCUUCGACGUUAUGGUGCAUCUGCUGGUCCAUAUCAUGGACGAUAUCAUCCAACUCGGGCCGACGUUCCUACACAGCAUGAUACCAUUCGAAAGGAUGAAUGGUGUCAUCAAAGGAUACGUUCGCAACAUGUCACGUCCAGAGGGAAGCAUAGCCAAGGGCUUUCUGACCGAAGAGUGCAUCUCCUACUGCACGAAUUAUCUAGGCAUCGAGAACCCCGUUGGUCUGCCCGUCAACAGGCACCUCAGCAGGCUCGCUGGAUGGGGUCGCCGCGAAAUGCAUGUCGACUUCGAGGGUCGACUCACCGACUUUGAAAGAGCAAACCUAGUCGCGCUACAACACAUAGACGUGGUCGAUCCUUGGGUGUUAGAGCACAAAACCUUUAUUAAGAAGACGUACAAUAACCGAGGCCAACAGAGGACGGACGGAGAUAUACUCAAAGAGCACAACUCAUGUUUCACGCGUUGGUUCAAGCAGAAGCUUCUGUCGUACCUUUUACAUGAGGAUUCUUCCGCGGAAGAACAACUCAUAUUCGCCUUGUCACAGGGCGCCGAGCACAACCUGAUGACCUAUGAGGCGUACGAUAUCAACGGCUACACAUUCUACACCGAGGCCAAGGACAUGAAGAGCGAUGGUUAUCAGAACUCCGGGGUAACGAUGGAAUCCUACACCGGUAACGACAAGGACAGAUACUACGGAAGGAUCGAGGAGAUCUGGGAGCUGAGCUACGCUGGAGAGAACGUCCCGAUGUUCCGUGUCAGAUGGGCGAAGAGCGUCCUAAAAGAAGACCGGUAUUUCACCACCAUGGUUAUACCCGAAGCCAAACCCAAGACCGCGGGCGCAAACGUCACCGCGAAAAAUGAGCCAUGGGUACUGGCUUCCCAAGUGGACCAAUGCUUCUUCAUUACCGACCUGUCAAAGCCCAGUCGUGUUGUCGUGAGGAGAGGCAAAAGGAACAUCAUCGGAAUGGAUGGAGUAGCCAAUGAGCAAGACUUCGACAAGUACGGCGACCCGAGGAUCGAACAUGACGACGAUGAUGAAGUAGCAGCAUACACCACAAGAAGAAGCAGGACCACCCUACCUAAAGGACGUCCGUUCCACAGAAGAACUCCAUUUACGAAAAAGAAGGGCAAGAAGAUUGUGAAAAGAUAGCUAGCUAAGAUCGAUUGUAUUUAAAUCGUAGCCUUCAUUUCUCGAUUGUAUUUCAUGGGCACUUUUUGAACUAUCAUGAAUAUUUUUAAAUUUCAUGGACACUCGAUCUCGAUCCCCCUCCAUCUCGAUCGCUAUCCCACCUCGCCAGAUUCGGUCCCCCUCGCCGCCGAGCACCCCCCGGUCCACCGGCCGCCGCCGUCGACCCCCCGCACCCUCGAUUCCCCUACUCAACCGCCGCCGCCGACCCCCCGCACCCCUCCCCUACUCAACCGCCGCCGCCGACCCCCCACACCCCGCGCACCCUCCCCCGCUCCACCGGCAUUACUGUUUGAUGAUAUUUUUUUAAAAAAUAUUAUUGUCUUAUAAAAAAAUAUUACUGUUAUGAUUUAAACAAGUUUGAACAUAUUUAAACACAAAUAAGUAUCAAACAGCAUUUUAAAUGCAUAAAAAAAUUUGUGGAGCCUAGGAAUCAAACCCAAGACCUCCUGGUGUGAGAACUGGCUGCUGACCAGUCGAGCUAGUAGAGGGAACUUGGUGUGGAUCAGGUCAGGUGGAAGAUAACCUUUUGGCUCGAGCAGAAAUCAAAAAAAAAUACUAAUGGCGCACCACGGUGAGGUGGCGCCAUUAGUAUGGAUGUACUUAUGGCGCACCGAGGGGUGGUGCGCCAUUAGUAUUGUGCCAUUGCUAUAAGAAAAAAAAACUACUAAUGGCGCACCACGGUGAGGUGCGCCAUUAGUAUGGAUGUACUUAUGGCGCACCGAGGGGUGGUGCGCCAUUAGUAUUGUGCCGCCCCCAUCCAUAUUUCCUCCCCAGCCCAAAUUAACCUAUCCCCUCUCUCUCCCUCGCCCUCGCCCUCGAUCCCCUUCCCCUCUCCUCUCCCGACGCCGCUGCCCCGCCGCCUCGACGCCUCGACGCCGCUGCCCCGCCGCCUCNNNNNNNNNNNNNNNNNNNNNNNNNNNNNNNNNNNNNNNNNNNNNNNNNNNNNNNNNNNNNNNNNNNNNNNNNNNNNNNNNNNNNNNNNNNNNNNNNNNNNNNNNNNNNNNNNNNNNNNNNNNNNNNNNNNNNNNNNNNNNNNNNNNNNNNNNNNNNNNNNNNNNNNNNNNNNNNNNNNNNNNNNNNNNNNNNNNNNNNNNNNNNNNNNNNNNNNNNNNNNNNNNNNNNNNNNNNNNNNNNNNNNNNNNNNNNNNNNNNNNNNNNNNNNNNNNNNNNNNNNNNNNNNNNNNNNNNNNNNNNNNNNNNNNNNNNNNNNNNNNNNNNNNNNNNNNNNNNNNNNNNNNNNNNNNNNNNNNNNNNNNNNNNNNNNNNNNNNNNNNNNNNNNNNNNNNNNNNNNNNNNNNNNNNNNNNNNNNNNNNNNNNNNNNNNNNNNNNNNNNNNNNNNNNNNNNNNNNNNNNNNNNNNNNNNNNNNNNNNNNNNNNNNNNNNNNNNNNNNNNNNNNNNNNNNNNNNNNNNNNNNGUUUCAGGUUUGCAACUCACACCCACACGUGUAGUUAGCUUUUCGGUAUCGCUGGUCUGGCUGGCUGUUGCUCUAUAUGGUCAAGAUAUAUAAUCUAUCUUGUAAUUGUUGCUACAUUUGCGUUUUCUCAAGAUGCAAGUUCAGUACCUCGCUCUGCUUUAGUUGAUGAACUCCACAAAUGCAAUCCGAGCUGAUUGCAGGUCUUUCUCUUUUUCUGCAUAAUCAUGGAAAUGGUCCAUCCUUGUUACGUACUAUACAUGGGAGGGCAGGGAAUAUACAUAUGUGUGUGUGUUAUGUAUGCAUGUAUGUAUGUGUAGUUAACUUGAGCGUUUCUGGUCUGGCUGGCUUUUUCACCACCUCCAAGAAAUAUUCUAUCUUCCAUUGUUUCUACAUUACUAUUAUUAUCUUCUCGAGAUAUUCAAGUCCAGUACCUCGUCCUUAGAGGCAAAGGAUGGUCUGCUCUUGUCUUCUAUAUUUACUUACGGGGACAAAAAGGCUCGCUCCGAUUUGGAUUCGUAUAAUGGGACGACAAUCCUUUGCUGCCAAAUAAGCUCCUCCUCGGUAGAUUUGAUUACUAGCAUGCUCCUGCUGCUAAAUCAACAAUUAACAAUGAAUGAUCUUUACCGCCAAUCAUUGGAUUUGGUUAGCACCAAUAUGCUCCUAGCACGCCUCCUCUGUUUUGGUGAUUACUUGCUGCCCUAAAUUAUAGUCUACUUACACAUCACCUAGUUUUGCUUCUGUUUGUUUGUACGUAUAUGCAGCAGCAGCAUCAUCUUUUGGUUCAAUUAGAAUGCACAUCUAGCAUUCUUUUGGUUUACUUAAAACAAUCUUUCAUUGCUUCCUGUAUAUCGAGCUUCCACAAACAUGGGUCCAUAAUUAUUGUGUCGAUGUUGUGUGCAUUAUUCUAUUUUGACCUUCAUUUAGAAGCAUGGAAGAUUUAGAAGGCAUAUGUAUGUAGACUGGAUAUUUUGUGUGUAGUAAUGUUUUGGUGCUUAUUGCUUUGGAUACUUUUUGUGUAUGCUUUGCUGAUACUUGUCUUAGAAAAGCUGACACUGCUUUAUCUAAUUAAGUUCUUCGUGUCUUCCUUUUAAUCUUAGAAUGGCACAGUCAUAUGUAUCCAGUUUGAAACUGCUUGUAAAUUAUUCCAGUUUGAAACUGAGAUCUGCAUGUACACCAUCGAGUAAAGCUAUUUCAGACACAAUAAAGUUGCAAAAUUCAGAUACUUCAUAGACAUGUGUGUGUUGCUUUUGUUUCUGCUAAACUGUCUAUGGUAGAUAAACUGAGCGUUGUGGCCAUGCUUGAUGCAGGAGCUCAAGAACCUGCGGCCGCAGCUCUACUCCGCCUCCGAGUACUGCGAGAAGUCCUACCUCAGCACCCACCAGAAGUAGAUGUGAGUAGCCACCUCAGCUGUUCCUCCUCUCCUCCAUUAGAACAGUUGAUCAGUGUAAAGUAGUCUGAGUUAGAGAAAUGUUGAUCAGUGUUAUGAGUGUUGGCCAAAAAGCUCUGUCAGUACCAUAUAGGUGAAUGUGCUACUUCUGUCAGUUGAUCAAUGUCUGUCAGUUGUCUGGUACUUGAAUGAUUUUGUGCUACUUCUGUUGACAGAGAAUGGCAUGUUAAUACCAUAUAGGUACCCAAUAAUGUUGCUAUGAUGUAUUGGGGGAGAAAUGGUCCGGCGUACUUGUGACUAAUGCCCCGGCGUACCCCGGCCCGUGACCAAUACUUAGUAGUUAAUUAAGUAGGAUCAAGUGCCCCGGCGUACUUGUGACUAAUGCAUGGCUUUUAGGGUGCCUCGGUGUCGAUAAAAACCGAAAUGAUGAAAGCUUAGGCUUUUAGGGUGCCUCGGCGUCGAAAAACCCUCAAUGAUAAAAGCUUAGCUUUUAGGAUGCCUCGGUGUCGACAAACCCUAAAUGAUGAGACCAUGAUCUUGUCCCUUGAUAAUAACCAACUUUUUAACCAAACUUUGUUCCUAUUUAGAGAGAAACAUGGCAAACAACGAUGAGGCCGGGGGUUCGGGCGGCAAGGCAUUCUGGAAGCUGUCCCAGGAGAUGGAGGAACAACCUCACUUGUAUGAGGACGCCGCCUUCCCCACCGAUCCUGAGACCACUGAUGUACCACCGAGGAUGACCCCACUGAUGCCACCACUGAUGGUGCCGCCGAUGAUGCCACCACUGAUGAUGGCGGCGCACGCACAGAUGGCAGCCAACCGAAGAGGCAACGGAAGGACCGGCGCCCGACCGUGCUCCGCACCCUCAAGGAGGAAGUUACUGAAGUGGACUCCGACGGGAAUCCAAUGGCGCCCGAACGAAUAGUCAAGGGGUACUCGCUUCAGCUAGGGUGCAUUCUCCGGAGCACCGUCUCGAUCAACACCGAGAACCUGAGGCAUCCUGACCGAGGGAAUUUGCGCAACCUCCUCUUCACGAAGCUGCACGAACGAUACAAGUUCCCCGCUGAAUUUGAAAACACAAGCCUCAAAGGGAAUAAAGUGAACAAUGCUGCUCUCACGAAGAUGAGCAAGGCCCUAUCUACUUGGAAAAGCAAUGUGAAGAGAAUGAUCGAGAAAGGUGAGAGUUAUGAGAAGAUCAAGGAGAAAAAUCCUUCGAUCACCGAAGAUGACUACAACGACUUCAAGAUCAAUUGCUCGAGCACUGCAAACUCCGAAUCAAGUAAGUGGGGGAAAGAAAUGCGGGAGCUGAACUUAGGGGAACACACACUUGGUCUUGGCGGUUACAGAGUGGCGGAGCCUAUAUGGGACAAGGAGGAGGCGGACCGUGCCGAGCAAGGCCUACCGCCCCUCUUCGAUAAAUACGGUGACAAGCAGACCAGGAACUUUGUCAGGGCCCGGUACAAGAAGGACCCGAAAACAAAGGAGCUUACCACGGAUCCGAAGACCAGGGCGCUUGAGCUUGUUCUGGUAAGGAAUACACCCCCGCGUAAUUAGCUCCAUAUGGUCGCAUUCUAAUUAAUGAAGCCAAAUUUCUAAAUGGUUCACAUUCCUUCCGCAGGCGACUGAAAGCAGUAGCGCGGGGUCGACUAAGAGCAACCCUUGGGACACCACUCUAAAUAGGGAGUUGAAUGUAAUGAAGAACAAGGAUAAGCUCAGUAAGCCGACGUCAGCUGGUCGUGUGGCCGGCAAAGGCUUGUCGACAAAAUGGUCGUCAUACUAUAACACUUGUGGGCGAAAGGAGAAAAAGACCAGCUCGGAAAGGCAGGCGCGCGAGGUUCAAGAACUCAGGGCACAGGUGGCGCGGAUUCCGGAGAUUGUCCAAGAGCAAGUGCAACAACAACUCGGAGUGACGAUCACCGCCAUUGUGCCUACCUUGAUCCAGGGGAUUAGUGCGUGGAUUGCGGGCGGCCAACAGGGGCCGCCCCCGAUUCCUAGCUUCACGGCCAGCAACUCGCAGAACGCGAUGGCGGGGCCAUUGGUGUCUCCGGCGCCGGCACGGGAGCUUAAUGCACCCGGGUGUACGCCGGCCGGCACCUCUGCAGCAAGCGGCCCCUCCGUCAACUGCACGCCCGCCGUUGGCGGUGCCUCGACAUUAGCCAAGCUCAACACCAUCAUCACGGUAACUAAUUAAGCCUCUCUCGGCCGAGGACUUCAUCUCCUUGCCUUUGACUGGGCAUCCCUGACGCCCUACAUGUUUUCGCAGGGCGCCGCCGACGUUCCGUGCACUCUCCUGCACUUCAUGAACAACGAGUUGGUCGAUGUCACCAAGGGCAAAAUCGUUCAACCGGGCAACCCCUUGUUCCACGGUACCCAGAUGCCACCCAACUUGUUUAGGGUUCAACUGGUUCGGGUGCUGCCAGGCUGCGACGAGUUGUUACCUCCGAUUCGACCCGUCGGGGCCGACGAUGAUGACGUGAUGACCCUCAGCGCCUGCCUGAGCUGGCCCCUGCUUUGGCCAAAGAGCCAGAUUCGUUUGGGGGCGGGGGACACCACCCCAAAGACAACACCGCCAGUCAUGCCGGCGCCAAGUCGGCCCCAUGGCAAGACCGCCGCAACGGUGCCGGACAUCCCUAUGCCACUGGAUCCAAACAUGCAUCUGGCACAGGAUCAGAACGACGAUGACGACGAUACAUUUGCCAACGUCGAUCAGUACUUUGCCGAUCAUGGGUACGGUGGCGACUUGAUGGGGCCUCCUUCUCAAGAACCCAACCCAACAAAAGACGUGCGCGAUCUAGCUGGUACCGCGGAGAAGCCAAGUUGCAACAGGCGUCGUCUGCCGUUCAGCUCUCAGGAGACGCCUCCAGCUGCCGACUUCACCGAGCCUCAGAUAGGUGAGGUGCGAAAUAUUAUCAGCCCCAACACACUCAAGAAGGCGGUCUAUGAGCAGAACUCGGUCCCAUUACAGGAGAAGAAGAAGGCACACAAAAGAAAGACUAACAAGGGUGCGGGCCAGCCGGCACCGAGUAUGAUCCGUGCUCAGGACGGGCCACCUUCACCUGAGGAUAUCUCGAGGAGGGUGCAUGUGGCGGGUAGGCCGAUGCUACCAAGAAAUAUGCUCGAUGCUGCAACCGGUGCUAUGCAGAGUCUGCAUGACAGUGUUCUUUCUUUGGAGAAGCGGCGUCUCGGAGAGAAGGAUGUGGCAUACCCGGUUUUCGCGGCCAAGGUGCCAGAGGGCAAGGGCUUUGUGGAUAACUCCAUCGGGGGUACGAUCGUCCUGCGGUUUGAUGACAUCCACGCUAUGUUGAACCUUCAUCCGCUGCACUACACCUUCGUUCGGCUAUUUUCGCUGAGUAUGGAGAUGCGGAUCAUUCGCGACAAGACCCCGGACAUCGUGAUAGUCGACCCCUUCUACAUGCGUGCCAAGAUCUUGGGCAGCGCUGGGGACCGGCAAGUCGCGACUUCUUACCUCGAAGGCGUCAUUCUGGCAAACCAAGAUAAGGAUAACUUCCUCGUGCCUUACUUUCCCGAGUAAGUCCUCCCCUCAACCGCCCCGUAACAUAUGAAUUCUUAGAUUUCGAUCGUUUUUCUUUUAACAUUCCGUGUUUUCUGCAGUGACACACAUUGCACGCUCAUCCUCCUAAGCCCCAAAUAUUCCAUGGCCACGUAUUUCGACCCGGACCGUCAGUCGAACGUAGACUAAACAAAUGUCAAGAAGGUUCUUGAUGAUGUUCUCCCCGGCUACGUCAAAUCUGGAGGCACCUUCACCAGGCCUAUUCGUAAGUACGGCAAGCACGUGUUCUCCCACAAUACGACGUUCUGCUGCAUCAAGCAGCCACCUGGCGGUCAGAAGGGUGCCUACCACGCCAUCCAUCACAUGCGGGCGAUCGUACGGGACCAUCAUCAACUUCUGCUACCGAGUAAACUCAAAGAUUAGGCCGCGAGCAUGUCGGCAAUCCAGGACGCGGACAUCAGACAAGAAUUCUUUCGCAUCCAGACGGAGUUUGCGGAAAUCAUCCAUCAAGAUGUCCUUCGUACCUCGGGGCAGUUCUACCUCAGAAAUCAACUGUCCAACAGUGACAUCGACACAAUGCUACAAAUGCAGGCUGACAACGACCGUUAUUUCAUGACUCCCACGAUAGACGGCGGCUUCAUCCACGCUCCGGUCCCUUGAGUCGAGUCGAAAGCAGUGAUGCUGUGUCUAGUUCUGAAACAUCGAUUGGCUCAUGUUGUAAUUAAACUUUAAUGAACUUGUAGUAUGUCUCUUUGGUUUCGAGAGUCGUUCAACUUAGAUGUAAUCGAUGCUAUUAAUGUCUUGCUUUUCUCUUCCGAUCGUUCUGUUGCAUACUUAUAUAUUGCUUAUGUAUUGUUUGUGAAUUGGUACUAACAUUUCGUUUGGCUACUGCAUAGCGAUGCCGUCGUAUGUCGUGUACAAGGGUAAGGUUCCCGGAGUCUACGACGACUGGGAGGAGUGUCGGAGACAGGUUCACCGAUUCAGCGGUAACAGUUACAAAGGGUACACCACUAGGGCCGAGGCCGAAUCUAGAUACGCCCGCUAUCUAGCGGGAGAGGGGAGGGAGCGCUAGAGGAACCAGAUGAAGACGAGUUUCAUCGUGAUGAUGCUCAUCGUCAUGACCGCAGCUCUCUUCUAUGUGAUGGUAGUUUAGAUGAUCGAUAUCGACUUGUAAUGUGAAGACAAACUCGCUACUCGCGGUCUCGAGACUUGUAAUAUAAUGUUCUAUCUUUCUUCGGUCUUUUCAAUUCGGAGACUAAUAUGAUGAAUUGUAUUCGGAGACUAAUAUGAUGAAUUGUACUCAGAGACUAAUCUUCUAUUGUAUUCGAUGAAUCUGUUGUUGAUGUGUGCUGUCUAUAUUUUGUCCAAUUAUACAUUUUGUAACCUGUGUAAAAAACAAAAAAUUAAAAAAUAAAAGAACCUAAUAUUCAUACUAAUGGCGCAUCACAUCACAGUGCGCCAUUAGUAUGCCAAAGGAUACUAAUGGCCCAUCAUCAAACAGUGCGCCAUUAGUAUGCCGAAGUUACUAAUGGCGCAUCUUGUUGUGCGCCAUUAGUAUGCCAAAGCACCUGGGUAUACAUGGCCCCCUGGGAGGCAUACUAAUGGCGCACUGUUGUAUAUACUAAUGGCGCAUCUGAGGUGCGCCAUUAGUAUACCAGAUACUAAUGGCGCACCUGUGGUGCGCCAUUAGUAAAAUAUACUAAUGACGUGGCACUAAUGGCGAACCACUAAUGCGCCAUUAAUGGCCAAAUUAGGUGCGCCAUUAGUAGGCCUUUUCCUAGUAGUGAAACUUCCAUUAGCCACUUUAACCAUAUAAACUGGCAAGGAAGAAAUGCCCUGAACAGUAGUUGCAACUGUGCAGUCAAUGAAUGAAUGAGUACUGCCUGAAUCAACCAGAAAAAUUAAUGGUUGCCCUUGCAAAUACACUUUCAGUUUCAUAGUUGACACUGUUGGAUCUGAAUUAUCUCCUAGAGCAGCUGCAGAAAGACAGAUAGCAUUGACCUCACCAACAACUGUUUCUUCAGAGUCACUCAGAUCAGAGGGCAUGUUCUGAACAUAAUCCAACAUUUCCUACACCACAUGCAACUGAAUUUCUUGUUUGCAGUGAUGAUCACGGGCCCAUCGUUCUCCACAUAUGAAACACAUACCCUUGGACUUUCUGUAAGCACACAGAGCAGCCCAUCGAUCUUCAGUUGGGGCAGCACGAGCUGGUUCAGUGAUUUUCUUAUCUUCCGGAACCUUGUUCACUGACGAUCGAGAGCUAGAGUAGGUCUGGCGUUUGCUUCCAUUGUUUGUACUACUAGAGUACGUAGUAGUUUCACCCAACUCUUCAGACAACAAGGCCAGAGCAUAUGCUGAAUCCAAAUCCUCAGGUUACUGAAUUCCAACCAACAAGCGAACUGAUGGAACUAACCCUUCCAUGAAUUUGGUGACGUAAUGCACCAUGUUUGGAUUUGUCUCAUAAGCAGUUAGCUGAUCAUACAGUUCUGAAAAUCGUUCCACAUACUCUUCGACUGAACUAGUCUGCCUAAUGUUGAACAUCUGGCACAACAGAUUCUGGUGUUUGUUCCUUCCAAACCUGGAUUGUAACAGGUUGCAAAAUUCAGGCCAAUUGACAUGCGGAGCACGACGCUGAACCGACUCCAACCAACGCGCCGCUGUGCCCUCGAACUGAGCAGAAGCAAACGCCACCCACUAAUGUUGCGGAGUGUUCCAUAAUCUGAAAUAGUCCUCACAAUGCGAUUGCCAGAGCUUGGAAUUCGAGCCAUCGAAAUGCGGCAACUCAAUUCGAGGACCAAACCCGACAACUUCAGACUGGAGCGGGCGAAACAAUUCAGCAACAUGAAUGAUCUGCCUCGAGGGGUUGGGUUCUAACGGCAUACCUCGCGCUGGCGGGGGCACGUACUUUGGAACUGCUCCCCGGUGAUCUGCUUCACCGUGGAAAUUUUCAGAUCCCCCUGAUCCACUGCUCGGAGGUGUGACCUUGGUCGGCGGUGUCGAUCCUCGCGGAGACGAAGGGGCGGCGGGGCACGCUGUGGUGCUUCGGUCCACCCCGAUCUCACUACAGAGUUCGUUGAGGUCGACGCCGAUCGCGAGCUUGACGUCGUCGAUGCGGCCCGAAAGCUGAUCCAGCUUGCUGUCGAGCUUGGCGAGGGCCGUGGUCAUCUCCUCGCUGCGCUCCGCCGAGCUCCUGGAGAAGGUGGCACCGAAAUCGGCCCGAAGAAGCUCGUAAAUCGCCUUGGUUUCCGGAGAAAUUUUCUCCAUGGCCUCGGUGCGGCGACGGGUGGCGAAUCGGGUGUGAUGGUGGUGGAUUGGAAUAUCCAGGGCUAAGAACGGCUCUGAUACCAGAUUGUGAGGGCUAGGGUUUGCAUUCAAGCCACUGCUAUAGAAUUCGAGCUACAAGGGGGGAAGGAGGAAGGUACAUGACGGAUCUGGCUCGUGCAGGAGCUCAGACCACACACGCCGCCACUAGCCGUUAUGCCAAUCGCCAGCUCAAUCUAUCCUAGUUACAUGUAUAAGUACCACUUGGUCAGGCCCACUCAGGCUCAGCUAGCUGAGCGGGUAGGCGAGGCUGCCUCUUGGGCCGGCCUUCAGUUUGAACUCCACCUUGGCGCUCCUCUUGAUCGCUGACAUUCUGCCUCAAAUUCCACGCAUUCGUCACUUGAUCGGCAGGCUGAGGCACUUCUCCGAUGGAAAUCUGGCCUAUACAGAAGCGGAACCUGUCCUCUAGAUUCAUGGACAAAGGGAACCAGCCCGUGUAGCUGGACUGGCGUUGCCUGUGGCACCGGGCUGCCUCAUGGCCGCAUUGUGGAAAUUUGGCUUCCGAGGCGUUGUCGCCUUGGUGGCAGGUUAGACAAGCUCCACUUUGCAGAGUUGUCCCAUCUUGUCCGUCUGGACCUUAGUUACAAAAAUCUCUCGGGCCCAAUCCCAUCAAGCAUUGGUGUUUUAGCCGAGUUAGCAUACUUGGAUCUAUCUGGCAAUAGUCUUCAUGGAUUCAUCCCAACA
rnacentral:lncRNA from 1 species